GGCCAAAGCAGUCUUCCCUAACCCUCCAAACCCCACAAUUGGAAUGAUAUAAACAUUCUCUUCACUUUGAAACUCCAACACGAGUUUUAGAAGAGCUGCUUUAUCAUCAUCCCUCCCUAUUAUGUCAUCUUCACGCUCAAAAGAGUGCGUUUGCUGCCUCCUUUUAGUCAUGAAAGAGGUUUCCGCGGGGCGAUCACGCGGAAUGAAGCCAAAAGUGUUGGCCUCCCUUUCAAUUGAAGUUAAUCUCGCCUUAAUGGCCUUCAUUUUCCGACCCAUUUUGAGACCAUAAGCAAAUUGGUUUGAGGUUGAGAAGAAAAGGCGUACCUCUUUCGCCAGCUUGUUCCCACCCGAUACAUCUUUCCGCAAAGCUUCAGUAGAGAAAUCAUCGAGCAAGUCGUCGGCAUCAUAAAGUACAUAUUUCAGCUCUUCAAGCCAAACUUUGACGAGAUUGUCGGUCACCGAUUUCUCUUCAGCGUCAAGAAGCACAGCUUUGAUUUGACAGACAGUGCGUUUGAGGUCGUGGAUGUCAUGUUUUAGAUUCCACCACAGCCCAACUUGAGAGAGAGCACAAGAGCUCAACUUAGUAAUAAGCUCUAGGGCGAGGUCGAAUGCAAUUGCUUCGGCCAUUGCUGGUUCAAACAGAAAUCAAGCAAAGAAGGGUUAUUGCAAGAGGAGGAGUAAAAUGAGAAUGAUUGGAACAAGAUGAAACACAAAUGUGGAUCCAUACAUGCAGAGACUUGAGUAUAUUUAUAGAUAUUACCAUCCACCCACCAAGUAGCAUAAUUAAAUAAAAAGCAUUACAUUUUUUCCUUUUUAUCCUUCUUAUAAUUAAUUUAAUAAUUUUAUUUAAUGUCAUACAAUUAACAAUUAAUGAAUAAAACGAUAUUAUAUUAUAAUAUUUUUAAUGAAUAAAUAAUUUUACUUUCUAAUAAAAUAAUCUUAUUGGGUGUAUAAUAUAAUUAUAUCAUACAUUAAACAUAAAAAUCCAUUAAUUUAAUAUCUUAAAAGUGUGCAUCUUUUAUGAUUCUAAUGUAGAAUUUUCUUUUUUACCUAAAUAUUAUAUUUUCCUUUUUGUUAAAAAACAAAAUAAGAAAAUAUUAAUUUCAUAAUAAUGAAUAAAUAAAUGUAGCAUUCGAAAACUUGGCUCACUAAUUAGUGCAUGUUUUAUUUAUUCAAAAAGUGAGGCUCAAAAAUCCUUCUUUUUCGAGUUCAAAGAAAAUACAAAAAUUAAGGUUCACAAACAUCAAUUUUCUAAAUUUAUAUAGUGCAACAAAUUACAUGGGCUUAAUUGUAAUUUUUUUAAAACGUUUCACAUACAGCUUUUUUUUUUUUUUUCUAUUGUGAACAUUGAAAAAAAAAUUAGAACAAUAAUUUAAGUUGUAAAAUUGAUCAAUUGAAUUGUUUAGAUAUUUAGUUUUCAUUUAAAACUAUACAUACUUAAGGAUUGAAUUAUUCGUUCAAUAUUCAAAUCGAUUAUUAGAUAAAUUAUUUUUUAAUUCAAAUACACAAAUAUAGAAUCACAACUCAGCUCGAUCUAUAUAGUUUCAAAAAUUACUCAGGGCAGAAUUCCCCUCCCCUAAAUUUGGAAAAUUUUCAUUAAGCCUUCAAUUUUUUUGAAAUUUUUAAUUAGACUUUACCUUAGUUUAAUUGAAAACAGCUCACAAGGUACAAAUUGAACAUAUAUAGACAUCUCUUCUCCCCUUGCUUGAGUUGUUGAACUAAACUAACUUUCUUCAUAUAAUAUUAAUUUUACCCAAAAUUUUCCUGUUCAACGAAAACAAAAUUCCUAAAAUACAAAAGUUAAUGGAAGAUAAAGAAGACAUUGGAUCUAGGUUUAAUUGUUUUGUAAUAAGCUAAAAGGGAUGCAGUGGUUGCAGGGCAUCCAUAUUUGUAUCCUCAAAAUUUGGUAACUGAAGGGAGCUAUGCUAAGCAUUCAACCAAUCAUUAGGUACUGCAACGUUUUCAUUAAAUGAUAGUCUUACAUAAUGUACACAAGAUUGCCUGUUAAUUAGUUGUGUUUCCAUGUGUUGGAUUAUUAUUUGAAACCCCGAAAGAGAAAAAUGUAUAUAUUUUUUUUAAGUUGACACACAAAAAAGUAAAAAUAAAGGAGAAUAAAGAACACAACCAAGAUGUUUCCGCAGUUCAAAACUCAUCCUACAUUUGUGAGCUUUGUCUAGAGAUAAAAUCGCUAUAAACUUCACAGUACAAUGAAAUUAUUUAUGCCCAACCCUCCAAACUUGGUGCAACCUCACCUUUGUACAAUUAACUAAAUACUCUUCCAACUUACAUUAGCUAUGCAAGAGAAAAUCAACACUCAUAAGGUGGCACUCAAAUAAUAGUUACUAAGUGUGCCUCUAAGUCCACAAAUCAUCUAUAUAUACAAGCUCCAAGAUCAGCUGAUGAAGAAUGCAUACAGAUUGACUCGUCAACAAAGAAAAACAGAAAAAGGAAGAACAAAUGUGCAUAGAGAGGAGGAUUUCAUGGGAGCACAAUGCCAUGGACAGAUCAGCUGAUGAAGAAUGCAUGUCCUGCUUUUUGGCUCUUCCAUUGAACUCGUGCUGAAAAAGAAGCAGCUUAGUCACGAGGUUAUAUUAGAUCAUUUGAAAUUAUGAGAUUAUUAUGAUUUUAAAAUGUAAAGCAAUUAAGUAAUUACCACCUAUUUUUCUGCAUCUAAAUUCUUGAAGUUGUCAAAUGCCUUUCAGAAAAAUACAUGCCAAUCGAAUAUGUGGGCAGAUAAACAAAUGAGGGUAGCAAGUAUGAUCUCUGCUUUUUGUAUUGCAUGCUAUGCUCUGCCGAAGAAUAGAGCCAAAAGCUAACAAAAAUGAAGGGUAAAAAGAUUAAUGGAAACCUUGUAGUUUUCAAAGGUGAAUAAAUAAGGACAAUUAAGAUCGGUGUUAACAAAUUUUAACUAAUAUUUUGAAAACAUUUGAAAACAUUUUAAAUAAGUUAAAAUAUAUAAUAUAAAAAAUCUAUAAAAAAAUUUCAAAAUUCAAUUAUUGUAAUAUAAAACUUUCAUAUCUAAAAACCCUAAAUUAAAUUAAACUAUUUCAAUUGAAUUCAACAAACAAAUUGGACCGAAAACCAAUUAAUUGAUUGGUUCGGCCACCGUAUGUGAAUUUAAUUUCGUAUUUAUUUAAUUUGGUUAGCACAUAUUAAUAGUUUUCAUAUUCUCUUUAGUUUUUGUAUUUUCGGAUUGUGUAAAAUUUAAAAUUUAAAUAUUUUUAUGUUCAUAUUUUUUUUUAUAAAUAUAUAGGGGUAAGCUCUCACUAACUUUUUGAAGCUUUUAGGAGUUCCUUCUAUUGAAGCAAUAUCAUGAGCGAAUCUAUAAUCAAUAUAUAUGAGAAAGAAAAAAUAUAUAAAAAAGUAAAAUAAAAAAUAAAAAUAGACUUGAACACUUAUGGAUGUUAAAUUUAUAAUAAGCUUAAGUAAAAGGGUUAAAAUAAUCAAACUAUUGUCUAACUCAUGCUAUGAAAAAGAAAUCACAGUUAAAAGAAUAUUGUAUGCUUCAAUGAAAGUCACAAUUUAUCUUUGAUCAUGCUUGUUCGCAACUAAGUAGCUAUAAUGUAACUACAUGUUCCUACAAACCUCGCACUAGUCGACUUUGCCCUAUGAUCCAUUAGUCGAAUUUGUGAUGUCUAUAUUUUAAUAUGCGAGGUAUUUAAAGAAAUAGAUACAUCAAUUUAUUUUUGUAGUGGAUAAAUAUAAUUAUUUAUUUACACAAUAUAUAAACAUAAAAUGAUGCCCUAUUAAUAAUUUAUGAAAAUUAGAUCAAAUUAAAAUUUCAUGUAUAAAAUUAUAUGUUAUGCCAAAGUUUAUAUGUAGUUUUGAGAUUUAUCCCAUUUUCCUAUUAACUUAGCCAUUAGCCUGAGCAUUAAAUGUUCGCUCAAAUAUGAUAGGGGACAUACUUAAAACACAUGUGUCCAUGCUAUAUAGGCAACUUGAAUCUAAUUUGUUAAAAGAAGAAGAAGAAGUAAUCCUCUUAAAUUUUAUAAUCUCAGCGUGUUUUUAAUAUGUUAGAAUCAAGUUAUCAAUAUGAUGAGUACACAAGUAUUUACAAUUUAAUCCAUGUCAAAUGAGAACAGAAAUUUAAAAUCUAAAUUGAUAGCUACAAAAAUGAAAUGAUUUUAUUGUUAUAAUAUUAAUACUUUCAAAACUUAAUUAAAAUAUUUUAAAAUUUACAAAUUAAUUCUAAAACAAUAUUUAAUAAAUUGAGAAUAUUUAAUACAAAUAACUUCUUAUUUGAAUAUAAAUAAUUAUAACACAUUUAUUAUUAAACAAAAUAAUAUUGUUUGGUUGGAAAUGGUCCCACCGUAUUUUACGUUUGGGGAACAAAGCGAUGGCGUUUUGGUUGGAGAAGAAGGGAGUAACGUUGUUAAGUACAUCAUUUUGUUUAUUUUCGUUUUAAAUUUGUUUUCUCGUUUUCUAUUUGAUGCCGUUAAUAUUCUUUUUUGAGUAAACUAUAUUAAAAGUCAUUCAACUAUUUUAAAAAGUACAAAAUGAUCACCAAAUUAUUAGUAAUUUCUUUUAUCUAAUUAUGAAAAGUUACAAAAUAAUCAAUAAACUGUUAUUUUUUUCCUUUUCUUUCACCCAACUAUCUUGGAUUUUUUGGUGUUUUCUAUUUUUUCAUUAGCCAACUAAUGAUAAAAAUGAUAAAAUUGAAUUGUUGGGAGACUAUUUUGUAACUUUUCAUAAUUGAGUAACCAAAAAGGAAAAAAAAAACUUAGUUGGGUGACUACUAAAGUAGGUUACCCUUUUUUAGGUUAAAAUAUGCCAUAUGUCCUUGUACUCGCCAUAAAUUUGAAAUUUAGUCUCUAUACUUGUAUUUAUAGGAAUUUAAUUCUUUUACUUUUUAAAGUUCAAAUUUCAGGUCCAAUUAUUAAUACUGUUAAAUUAACCAUUUAAUGAUAGAGGGACUAAUUUGUAUGCAGUCCCUACAGUACCGGUACUUUAACCCUUAUAUAUAUUUGAAUUUUAUUUUAGGAUUAAAUUGAAAAUUUGAAAAAAGUAAGAGUUCAAAAAGGUAAAAACAAAUGAAAUUAGCACAUUAACUUACAAUUAUAUACCCUUUCUUUUCCCUCCUUUUCUACUCUAUAUCUCUCUAAUGUCUGAACUAAAACCCUCACUUUCUCUCCCUUCCUAUUUCCCUAUUGCAAUUAUACCCACCUCGUUUCCCCUCAAUAUCAUAAACCUCCAUGUUCGGGAUGGUCUUACGCUGCCGUAUUAACCUCCUCCUACGGCUUCAACAGUACCAGCUUCGACGGUUCCUCCGGUUGUUCCGCCGAUACGUCGUCACCUGGCCUUCGAUUCGACGAAGCCGCCGUUUGUUCAUCCCGAUGAUUAUCACAGAUUUUCAUCUAGUAAUAGUCGUGGAAUCGUCACCGAUCAGGAAGUUGAAGCUGAACAUUUAAUGCUGUGCUCUAUAUGAAGAAAGCUUGAUGGGUGUUAGUUCUUUUGAUGUUUGUAGAAUAAUAAAAGAAAACUUCUCAAGUUUAUUGGAUGCUAACAUAUUGUUAUAUACAAGCAAGGAAAGGAAGUAACAGAAAGUAACAGAAAAAUAACUACUAACUGACUAACAAGAAAUUAAUUUAAAACUAUAUGACUAAUAGCCCCCCUCAAGUUGGAGAGUGAAUGGGAAACAGUCCCAGCUUGGACAAAAUAAGCUGGAAGGGAACAGCAGGCAGAGCUUUGGUGAAGAUGUCAGCAAGCUGGUCUUUGGAAGAAUAAGGAAGCAAUUUGACAACACCGGACAACACUUUUUCACGAACAAGAUGACAGUCGAUCUCAAUAUGUUUAGUACGUUCAUGAAACGUAGGGUUUGCAGCAAUUUAGAGAGCAGAAUUGUUGUCGCAAAAAAAAGCAGUAGGCCUAGAAAUAGACAGAUGCAAAUCAGACAGAAGAAAUCGAAGCCACUGAAUUUCACAAACAGUAGAUGCAAGAGCCCUAUAUUCUGCUUCUGAGGAAGAGCGAGACACGGUGCUUUGCUUCUUGGCUUUCCAACUAAUAAGGGAAUCUCCAUAAAAUAGGUAGUAACCAGUCACGGAGCGACGUGUGAGAGGACAACCAGCCCAAUCAGAGUCACUAAAUGCCUUCAGUGUAGGCGAAGAAGAAGCAGAAAAGAAAAUACCAAAGUCAAUGCAUCCUUUCAGGUAGCGAAGAAUGCGAUGGGCAGCUUUUGAAGGUGAGUGACUAUAGGUCGGUCCAAGAAUUGACUUAACUGUUGAACAACAAAAGCAAGAUCAGGUCUAGUAGAAACCAAAUAUAAUAGGCGUCCAAUAAGUUUUCUGAAAAUAGUGUUAUCAGGAAGUAAUUCGUCAGAAGCAUCGCGAGGGAUUUUAGUAACCAUAGGAGUUGUAACAGGCCUGCAAUCUGAGAAACCAAAAUCAGCCAGUAGAUCGAGAGCAUAUUUUUGCUGGCAAAGAUGAAUACCAGCAAAACUACGAGCAACUUCAAGGCCAAGAAAAUACUUGAGAUCCCCCAAGUCUUUGAUGCUAAAGGCAGAAUGCAAGAAGGCUUUUACCCGUGUGAUUUCUUCCAAAGAAUCACCAGCUAGAAUAACAUCAUCAACAUAAACCAAUAAGGCAGUAAAGGAAAUUUCAUCCUUUUUAACAAACAGAGAAAAAUCUGAAGUAGAUUGAACGUAACCAAUUGUAGUGAGAGCUGCAGUGAGUUUGGCAAACCACUGUCGACUAGCCUGCUUGAGACCAUAUAAUGAUUUUUGCAACUUACAAACCUUAUGGGAAGUGGAGGAAGCAAAACUAAGAGGCAAAAGCAUAUAAACUUCUUCAGUCAAAUCUCCAUGCAGAAAUGCAUUGUUAACAUCAAGCUGGUGCAAAAACCAGUCUUUGGAAGCAGCAAUAGCAAGCAAUAAUCGAACAGUAGUAAUCUUGGCCACAGGGGAAAAAGUAUCAAAAUAAUCAACACCCUCAGUUUGUGUGAAACCUUUAGCAACCAAACGAGUCUUGUAACGCUCAAUAGAACCAUCGGCUCGAUAUUUCACACGAUAGACCCAUUUGCAACCGAUUGCAAUUUUGCCUGAAGGUAAGUCCAUAAUGAUCCAGGUGUUAUUUUGUUCAAGAGCAGAAAUUUCAGCUUGCAUUGCUUCUUGCCAAUGGGGAAUUUUGCUAGCUUGUAAAUAGGUUGUAGGUAUGGGAGAAGCAUUGAUAGCAAGAGUAAUAGGUGUGGCGCAUCGAAGAUGAUUGGCAACAGCUUUGCUGGAAAAGCAGUGAUACUGGUCUAAAUAUGAAGGAGGUUUCCUAAGACGAGGUGGCCUAGAGGGUUGUAAAGGAACGGGAGGUGAGGGUUGUGAUUGAAUUGGCAAGUCAUAGGUAAUGGUGGGGUCAAAGGUUAACUGUGGGAUGGAAGAGGAAGAAGAUGGUUGUUGAGAAAAAGGGAAAACGGACUCAUGGAAAUGGACAUUUUUGGAUAUAAAAAUGGCAUGGGUUGAUAGAUCAAAAAGAAUAUAGCCUUUGACAUGAGGUGGAAAACCAAGAAAGACACACUCACGUGCUCGAGGAUCCAACUUAUGACGAUGAGCAGUAAGAGUGGUUGCAAAACAAAGACAGCCAAAGACACGGAGGUGCUGAAAAGAUGGCUUAGUUUGGUAUAACUUGUCAAAAGGGGUAAGGUUAGCCAAAAUGGGAGUAGGGGUACGAUUAAUAAGAAAAACAACAUGAAGAAUAGCAUGUCCCCAAAAAUGCUUAGGCAAAUGAGAAUGAAAUAAGAGAGCCCGUGCAACAUUAAAAAUGUGUUGGUGCUUGCGUUCUACAAGACCGUUUUGUUGUGGGGUUUCAACACAUGUAGUUUGAUGAAUUGUGCCUUUGGAAGCAUAAAAGGCUAGAAUGACAAACUCACAACCAUUGUCAGAUCGAAUGACUUUAAUUUUAGAUGAAAAUUGAGUUUCAACAAGUGUGAAAAAAUUCUGAAUGUGAGUACGAACUUCAGAUUUUGCUUUCAAUAAAAUAAUCCAAGUAAAGCGACUAAAAUCAUCAACAAUGGUUAAAAAAUAACGAUGACCAGUAAUGGAAAUAACAUCAGUUGGACCCCAAAUAUCAACAUGAACAAGUUCAAAAAUUUUAUUGGAAAUGGAAGUGCUUACAGGAAAAGAUAAUUUCUUUUGUUUGGCCAAAUGGCAGGCUGUACAAGGUGCAUUAUUUGACAAAGACAAAGAAGGAAUGUAAGGGAAAAGUAGUUUUAGUCGAGAAUCAGAAAGAUGACCGAGACGAUGAUGCCAAAGGGAACAUGAAGAUGUGUUGGCUGACAAGGCAAUGGGAGCAGAAAUGGAAAAAGUUUGAGCUGGGAAAUCCAAAAUAUAAAGACCAUGGAGCACUCUAGCUGUACCAAUCAUAUUCGAAGAAGGAAGAGCCUGUAUAGAACAAUGAUUUUUAUGAAAAGUAAAGGAACAAGGUAAUAUAGCAGUGAGUUUAGUAACAGAUAAAAGAUUAAAGGUAAAUUGAGGAACAUAGAGAACAUUAGUAAUGUAAAGACUAUUAUUGAAAAUGACUGUACCAGAAAUUCGAGCACAAACUUUAGUGCCAUUUGGAAGGUUGAUGUAUAUAGGUUUAAUGGAAUGAAAAGAAGCAAAAAACGAUAAAGAGUGAGCAAUGUGAUCAGUGGCACCUGUGUCAAUGAUCCAAUGAUGGGAUUGAAGAGAAAAGAGGUUACCUGAGGAUGGGAAAGGGUUCGGUUGUGAGGAAGAAUCAGUAUUGGUAACAUGAGGUGGGGAGGUAGAUGCUGGAAGUAAUGCAAGUAGCUGUUGCAACUGAUCUUGUGUCAAAGUAACAGAAGGAUCAGAUGGCAAAAUAUCAACAUGCUGCGAAGAGUCCAAAGGUUGUGAAGCACAAUCAUUAAGCGCUGUAUGUGCACGAGAGGCCCGACCUCGAGACUUGUAACCAGGUGGAUAUCCAUGCUUUUCAUAACAAGUAUCAACAGUAUGCCUGGAUUUGCCACAGAAGGUACAUUACCGUGAAUCAGUAAAUGAUUUAGCCUGAGGUUUCUUUGAAGAACUGUGGUGGCGCAGUGUGUUGCUAACAAACAACUGAGAUGAGCCAGUAGGAAGGUGACGUUCUUGUUGAAUAACCAGGGAAAAUACUUUGUUGAUUGGAGGCAAGGGAUCAAUAAGCAUGAUUUGAGAACGAACAGCAGCAAAUCGAUCAUGAAGACCCUUAAGAAAACGAAUAACGUAGUCGUUAUCAUGAUAUUUCUGGAGAGUGACAAAAACACCGCAAGAGCAAGAUGGUGAACAAGAACAAACUGGAAUUGGUCGAAAAUUCAUCAACUCAUCCUAGAGAAUUUUUAACUCAGUAAAGUAAUCAGUAACGGAACGAUCAUCUUGCUUGAAAGCAUUGAUCUCUUCUUGGAGAGCAGAAAUGCGGAAAACAUCACUUUGAGAAAAGCGUUCACGAAGAUCGCGCCAAACAUCAUAAGCAAAGUCGAGCCAAAGAACACUGUUCAUGAUCGAGGGCGAGAUGGAAUGGUGCAACCAAGAAAGCACCAUAGUGUUACAUCGUUCCCAGGCAGAAUAAAGAGGAUCCGUUCGAGGUGGAACCGUGAUGGUGCCGUCAACAAACUGAAGCUUGUUCUUGGAUAGAAAUGCCAUUGUCAUAGCUCGAGACCAAGAGUGAUAGUUUGAGCUUGAUAAGACAGGAGAAACAAGAACCAAAGCUGGAUUUUCAUUUGGAUGCAGAUAGUAUGGGCUAGAAGGCAGCAUAGUAUCAUGAAAUGCCAUUGGAAGAAAAGGGAAUCAAGAAUGCAGAUUAUGGAGAAAGCAAAAUAUAACGUCUGAUACCAUGUAGAAUAAUAAAAGAAAACUUCUCAAGUUUUUUGGAUGCUAACGUAUUGUUAUAUACAAGCAAGGAAAGGAAGUAACAGAAAGUAACAGAAAAAUAACUACUAACUGACUAACAAGAAAUUAAUUUAAAACUAUAUGACUAAUAAUGUUUUGUCUUUGAUGGAUGUUUGAAAAAUGAUUCAGUUGAUAUCCAUAAUGUCUAUCACUAUAGUUUCCCCCUUAUGCAUAAUUCGACUGCUCUGCUAGUUUUGUCGGACAAAAUUAUAUUCGCAUAUUAUAUUCUUUUUCUUUAUUGUCUUCAACGCGAUAACAAGUGAAUUACUAGUUACUUUACUUGAUUUUUUCAUGGCAUUUAUCUCUUUGAGUUUUGGCCUUUGUGAAUUAACUUUUGAAUCAAGUAGCGAAGCAUUUCUGAUGGUUCUUAUGGCUAACAGUAAGUUUUCUUGUACAAGCUGUCGCACUUAUGCAUUUGUUAAACUUAUGCUCUUUUUUAUUUUAUUUUCUUCAAUUCAAUUGGUUGUUAACGUUGACAUAACCGUGCACAAAUACUAAGGGACCUUGUAAUUUUGCCUGCCAUUGGCGGUACUUUGAAAUAUUGCUGAUUUUUCUCAGCAAUUAAAAAGGAAGAGCGCAGCAGACAAAAAUGAUGUUGAGUCUAGCCAAUGGACAAGCAGUCCGGGGGUUACCUGUAUAUGCUAAAGGAGGAAGGAUAAAUAAUAGAUCAAAGACAUCAAAAGCCAAUAAAUCAAUGCCUCACACACCUGUGUCAAAUGCUGGUGCGAUACUAUUUCCUACUGGCUUUGUCCAUAGAAGGAAACUUAUGAUUCACCCCACGGCUCUAUCAUCAAUGCCUCAUUGCUCCAAUUAAGAGAGAUGGAUUUUGUAGAAGAGGAAUCACUGACAUUAUAAAUGAUAAUUGGCAGGUUGUCCAUCUCCUCUUACACCUGUGGCAGCUGCUGUUUAGAUAGUCCUUUAGUUAAUCUUUACUGCCCAUUCUUUUUUCUUUUACUAUAGUCUGUUUUAGCUCCUUAACCUGCUAUGGAUGGUGAGAACGACAAUAAUGCAGUCCCCAUUUUUAGGUCUGUUGACGAAAAAGUUUGUCAAUCUGAUGAAGCAUGCUGAUUUGUCAAUCUGAUGAAGCAUGCUGAAGAUGGUAUCCUUGACCUAAAUAAGGCUGCAGAAACAUUGGAGGUAAUGAAAUACUAGCGAGCUUAUGUAUCAUUGGGUGUUUGUUGAGUAUUUUUUUCAUGUUACUUAAAGGGUUCUUUUGUCCUUUAUUUUUCCCUGUAAAUGUUGUAACAGGUGCAGAAGAGGAGGAUAUAUGAUAUAACAAAUGUCUUGGAGGGCAUCCCUUCAUUUGAAUACUGUUUGGAACCCUAAAAAAACAUAAAUGUGUUUUUUCCUGAGAUGGCACGUAUUUUGCAAUAAGAAAAAUAAAGAGUACAAUUAAAAUGUUUAUGCAGUUCGGAACUUGUCCUAUGUCUGCGGAGCUUUGCCCAAAGAUGAAUCCACUAUGAACUUUAUAGUACAAAGAAAUGAUUUAAGCUUAACCCCUCAAACACUUUAUGCAAAUUCUCACUUUUGUACAAUUAAGUAAAUUCUCUCCCAACUCAUUUUAGCUAUGCAAGUGAAAAUUCACAUUCAACACUCACAUGAUUUUCCUACUAUGAAUAAGUUCUUAAUAAGCUCCAUGUAAAGUGGAAUAAUAAAUUUUCAAAUGCAAUAUGUCUGGGAAUUGUCAUGCUUGAACAACGACUCUUCCAAAAGCAUCAAUGAAUCUGAAAAUUAUAAAUGCCAACAUAGAAUAUGUUACAAAUCCCGUUAUUAUCAGCCUUAUAUUUACACAUAUGUCUGUUUAGUAUAAUGCUGUUGAUAUAUAAAUAAUGAAACAUUUUAUCAACUUCAACCUCACCACCGAAUAUUCUGAAGCAUUUUCCUUUUUUUCCUGUUUGGACCUUCAAUAACAAAUUUGGCUGGAAUUCCAAACAGCUAAAAGAGUGCCCUGCAUCAAUGAAUAUUAAGAUGGUAAGCAAAAACAUAAAUAUAUAUAAAGAUAUGAUAGGUAAGUGCUUAAAUGAAGAAAGCAGAGCAUAUAGUACAACCAUUUUGAAGGCUUCAUGGGCCUCUCUCUCCACAUCAAUCAUUUUUUAGAAUCAAAAUAUUAGAAGCAAAUAGAUGAAUUAUCACCUCUUUUUAUGCAUAUAGAAUGAUUGAAGUUGACUAAUGCCUUUCUCCAAUGCCUUACUGCACAAAUCAGCAAAUAUAUUAUGAAAGAUGAUAAGUAAAAAGUAGGAUGAAAACAAAGGGAUUUUAACAAGGAAAUUAACAGUAUCCAACUUCAAUGAAAAAUGGCAUCAGACCCCUGACUUGGAGAUUCAAUAUACCACUCUUAUUUUUCUUCAAAAAAAGAUAAGGUCAUCAAAAUAAAUAAAUAACAAAGACAGACCAACCUGAUAUGACCCAAUGUUGGGGAUGUGAGCAAUCUUUUGCCAAUCAGCGCCAAUGUCCUUCCGACAUCUUUCCUCCAACUGAGGAAUUCCUUUUAUGUGUAAAUACUCCAAACUGGUUAGGCAACGCAUCCCGUCCGGAAGAGAUGUUAAAUUUGGCAAAUUAACAAGAUGAAGCCGUUGCAGAUUUGUUAGAUGUUGAAGCCACUCCGGAAGAUGCCGACACUUUGGAAUAUAUUCCAGCCGUAGAGAGCGUAGUCUUGUAUGAUCUUGGAAUAUUUGGAUGCCAGCUCCAGAUAACUCCAGCUCCUCGCAGUUCCUUACUUCAAACUCUUCAAGGAAAGUGAGAUGUUGGAACACAGGAAGCAGUGACCUCAAUCCAUUCCAGUUAUGAAUUUUUAAUGUUUUCAAUUGAACAAGAUGUUGAAGCCCAAUGGGGAGAGACACCAGCUUUGGAAUAUUAUCAAUCUCCAAAUGAGAGAGAUUCUUAAGGGGUUCCCAUUGCAUGCCCUCUAAAUCAACCUCCUUGCAAUCUCGUAUUGUUAAUCUUUUGAGGCUGGUGAGAUGUUGCAGGCACUCAUCUAGCGUGUAAGUGUCCAACCCCUCAAUGUUGUGUACAUCGAAAGAUUUCAUUUUGGAGAGUGGAAGAGAAGAGGUUGAAGUUGAUGGGGCCUUAGCAUUGAUGUUCAUCUUGAUAGUCUGCUUUAACGGCCUUGAACUGGUAUUCGACAACAUUAGAUCUUCACCGAGUGAUGGAUACAGUGGCAUUAAAGUCAAAGGGCAAUUUUGAAUUGUUAAAGAGGAAAGACAAGGAAAUGCCAUGGUUGAUGUUCCCAUAACUGUUGUGUCGUCCUCGUUGGAAUCAUCAUCGAUUGGUUUUGUCGUCCUCCACCAACUCUUCAUAUUUGGGCAAUCCUCGAGGUUAAGAAGCUUAAGCGAUGGGAAGAAUGAUUGUGGUUCUCCUUGACUUCCUUUUGGGCUAUUAUCAUCCAUGUACUCCAGCUUAGUACAAAACAUAAUAUCCAGCAGUUCAAGACAGGGCAAUUGAGCAAAGGACGGGAAAUAUUUGAAAUUACCACCACUUAUGAAAAUUUUGACGAGAUUUGUGAGCAAAGGAAGCCAACUUGGAAACUUGGCAUCACCCCUCCAUCCUCGAAUACAGAGCUCCUUUAGAUUAGGAUGGGGUUGGAGGUCUUCAAGUGAUUUAUCAUCAUCAUAUUCAUCAUCGUUAAAAUCAAAAUAAAAGCUCCAUUGUAAAACCAACGAUCUCAAAUGUUGCUUCUCAUUCAAAUUAGCAGCCUUAAACUUCUCUUUUGCAUUUUUUACGAAUCCCAAAUUUGCUAUUUCUAGAUGUCCCCUUAAGUUGUUAAGCAGUCUCAAUUCACUUAGAUCUGCACCGCCAUGGGACCCAUCUUUAUCCACUACAAACAUGCUUAACGUCUCAAGUGAAGUCAGCUUCCCUAUUCCACGUGGCAUAUGAGUUAAACUAAAACAAGCGUCACACCCAAUAUGGGUAAGCUUCACCAAUUUUUCAACCUUCUUUGGCAAUUCUUGAAGCCCACAACACCAGUCAAGUUUCAGCGCUAGCAAAUUCUGAAUCUUGCAAAUACUCUUUGGGAGAAUCUUGAUAUUGUAAUUGGAAGAAAGAUCAAGGUGCCUCAAAUGUUUCAACUUGUAAAUGGAGGGUGAAAUCAUCUGAAUACCUAACGAAUGCAAAUCCAAUACACGCAAGCAUCUACAAUUUGCAAUUAUCAAAUCCCAAGUUUCAUAGCUGAAAUCAUCACUCAAUUUUUGAUCUAUGUUGUCUUGAAAAUGUAACAAGGUUCGCAACUUCUUUCCCUUAAACGAAGGAAUUAAUGAAGGUUUAAUUGAUAUGUGGCGACAUUUUUCACCAACAUCACUUGCAAUUCUAUUUGAAUCUACAAUACCACUCUCCAUCCCUGCUACUGAUUCAGCUAGAUCAUGCAUUAAAUCAUGCAUUUUACAUGUUAGCCCUUCCCAUGAAUAUCUUUCUCCUACUUCUUGGAAGAAACUUCUUUCAACUAAAUCUUUAAAAUACCCAAACCCAAUCUCCUCCAGAGAUUGACUUUGAUUCAAUUGCUUUAUGAAACCCUCUGCAAUCCAAAAUUGAACAAGCGCUUGUACUUCAAUUCUGUAAUCUUUUGGAUACAAUCGGCAAUAAGCAAAGCAAUGCUUCAAAUGAGACGGGAGAUGAUCAUAACUCAAUUUCAGCAUAGGUAGAAGUUCUCCUUCAAUUUGUGAUAUUUUAGGAAGUUCAUUUUCAUUGAAAGAAUGCCACUCAUUUGCAGUUUUCUUCAAAGAUAAUGUACCAGCUAUCGUCCUUAUGGCUAAGGGAACCCCACCACACCUUUCCGAAAUCUGUCUCCCUACUUCCACAAAGGCUGAAUUUGUUGAGUCUGCAUAUCCUUGCUCAAAUGCUAUCUUUUUGAACAAAGACCAAGCAUCAUCAUCAGACAAGCCUUUCAAUUUCAAAACAUGGGAUUGACAUUUAUUAGUUAUCUCCGCUACCCUUAGAGAUCUAGUCGUUACUAUUAUCCUACUCCCUUUAGCCCCACCCAUCAAUAACUUCUUUAGCCUAGACCACCUUUCUGGGUCCUCAUUCCAAAUGUCAUCCAAAACAAGCAAAUAUUUUUUCCCAUCAAUUUUAUCUCGAAGUUGUUUUUGCAGUUGAUCCAUUUCAAGAUUUUGAUCAGGUGCUUGAUGAGUCACAGAUUUGAUAAUGUUUGCUACAAUAACUUUCACAUCAAAAUCAUCUGAAACACACGCAAACAUCGUUAAGUCAAAAUGAUUUUUGACCAUUUCAUGGUUAUAGACAAGUUGGGCCAAAGCAGUCUUCCCUAACCCUCCAAACCCCAAAAUUGGAAUGAUAAAAACAUUCUCUUCACUUUGAAACUCCAACACGAGUUUUAGAAGAGCUGCUUUAUCCUCGUCCCUCCCUAUUAUGUCAUCUUCACGCUCAAAAGAGUGCGUUUGCUGCCUCCUUUUAGUCAUGAAAGAGGUUUCCGCGGGGCGAUCACGCGGAAUGAAGCGAAAAGUGUUGGCCUCACUUUCAAUUGAAGCUAAUCUCGCCUUAAUGGCCUUCAUUUUCCGACCCAUUUUGAGACCAUAAGCAAAUUGGUUUGAGGUUGAGAAGAAAAGGCGUACCUCUUUCGUCAGCUUGUUCCCACCCGAUACAUCUUUCCGCAAAGCUUCAGUAGAGAAAUCAUCGAGCAAGUCGUCGGCAUCAUAAAGUACAUCUUUCAGAUCUAAUCAAGCCAACUUUGACGAGAUUGUCGGUCACCGAUUUCUCUUCUGCGUCAAGAAGCACAGCUUUGAUUUGACAGACAGUGCGUCUGAGGUCGUGGAUGUCAUGUUUUAGAUUCCACCACGGCCCAAGUUGAGAGAGAGCACGAGAGCUCAACUUAAUAAUGAGCUCUGCGGCAAUGUCGAAAGCAAUUGCUUCGGCCAUUGUUGGCUCAAACUGAAAUCAAGGCGAGAAGUGUUUGAUUAGUGAAAGAGGAGGACUAAAAUGAGAAUGAUUCCAACAAGAUGAAACACAGAUGUGGAUCCAUCCACCCAGCAAGUAGUAUAAUGAAAAAAAAAGUAAUGUUCAUUGGUGGGAAAUGGUCCCUCCAUGUGACACAAAUUUCUGAAGGGAGACAAAGUUGGGAUGAUGACACUUGGGGUGCUCUGCACAAUGUGGAGCCGUACAAAUAAUUGAAAUUAAUGAAAAAGCUAUGAAAGAAAAGAGAAAAAAGGAGACAAAUCCCAUGGAAUCCAGGGUGUUUUGAUUGAGGCACAUGCAUUCAAGUCUUUCUAAACCUUCUUCCCACUUACUUUGUGUAAUUGAGUGGGUCUGAAUACUCGGUUCUAACUUAAAUUUAAUAUUUUAUUUUUGAGGGUGAUUGCAGACUGUGAGAUACAACAUGAAGAUUGGGUUUAUGUCAGCUCCAUGGGAAUGUAUUUUAUUAUACCAUCAUGAAGAUUGCUUCCAGUGCUCAUAUCUAUUUAAUUAUUUUAAUACACAUAAAAUUGUUUAUUGUGAGUUGGAUGAUUUUGGUUUGUUUAUUUAAGAUAUUUUAUUUUUAAAUAUAUUCUUAAUUAUUUAUUUUACAUAUUUUAACUUAAUAUAUUUAAUAGUGAUUUUUUUUAAUAAAAAAAAGGACCCAAAGGUUACUACCUCAUUUUAAGUUGCAUCAUAAAUUACAAUGUUAUGGAUAUCGCUAUGAUAAUCAAUCUCAAAAGACAAAUUACAACACUUAGAAAGAGCCCAAUUACAAAGAGAAUCGGCUAAUUUGUUACAACCACGUUUCACCCAUUUGACCUUGGCGGAAACAAAAGAAUCAAGCAUAUUGUGAACUCCUUGAUGCAGUGAUCAAGGAUCGUUAUGUCCUUCUUGUCAAAACUGAAGCAGUUGACAAUACUAGCACAAUCUGUUUCAAAAAUGACGUUAUCGGCUUUAAGAAAUUGAGCAAGCUGAAAACCAUUUAUGAGGGCAUCUACUUCCGCUUUAAUAUUGAUUUUUUAUUCUCAUUUUAUCAGUAUAUUUACAUUUGAAUUCAAAUACAUAUUCUAUAAUUAACUUUAAUCUCACUGUUACAAUACUUAACCUCACUAAAUUACUUGUUUAACAUGAUUAUGGUGAAUUUAUAGAAAGAACAAUCACGAAGCAAAUGCAGAUGCACUUAUCUUUAAAGUGUUAUUAAUGGAAAUUUUAUUAUUUUGAAAAAUAAAAGUAUAAUAACUUUUUUGGCAUUCCAACUUUAUAAAAGAAUUAUUUUAUUAUUUUGAACUUACAUUUUUUUGUCAAACCAUCCAAAAUGGGUGAAAAAGUUAAUGUUUGUUAACUUUGUUGACAUGACAUAUAGGUGGAUUACCACGUGUAUGUCACGUUAGCAAUUAAUUAUUUUUAAAAAAUAUUAAAAAAUAUUUUCUUAUAAAUUUUUUAAUUUUUAAAAUAUUUUUUUGAAUUUUUUAAAAUUUAAAAAAUGAGUAAUUGCUUAUGUGACAUACACAUGGCAAUCAGCGUGUAUGUCACAUUAGCAAAAUUAAUAGACAUUAAUUUUUCACUCAUUUUGGGGUGAUUUGACAAAAAUUACAAGUCUAUGGACUAAAAGAAACGAAAAAUUAAAUGGAGAGAUGAAAUUACUUUUUCUCUAAAGUUGGAGACCAAAAUAAUCAUUAUGGCAAAAAAUAGUUGUUUUUCUUCUCUCUCUUUCUUUUUGGUAUUUUUUAGUGCUAAAAUUUAAGAUGGUGUGGAAUGUUUAUAAUCUUAUUAUUGUUAUAUAUGUUUUCGAUCUCAUUAGAGCUAAUCUCACUAUCUAUAUAAAGAGAGCCUAAAUAUAAUUUGUUUAGCUUCUUUUAAACAUGUUAGUGUUCCCUUGUAUGAUCAUUUACCUCCCGUGAGUAGGGUUGAGUAAAUUAAAUAAAAUAAAAUAAUUGAAAAUCGAUCCAAAUCAAGGUCUUUAGAUGGUUUUUGGAAUACUAAUUAACAAAUCACAAUUAUCCGAAACCAAACCAAAUUAUAUUCUUUAUUUAAUUUAUAAAUAAAUUUAUUUUUUAUAAUUUAAAAAUAAAUCUUUUAUAUUUAAAAAUAGUGAAAAUAAAUAAAUAAAUAUUUUUAUUUACUUAAAAAAAAUUUAAAAAAUAUCUAUGAAAUAAAUUUUGAAAAUUUGUCAAAUGAUAUUUAAAAGCCGUAAAAUAAAGUUUAUUUUAUUAAAAUAAUUAUAAAAAUUUAUAAUAAAAAUCAAACUAAACUAAAUUAUAAUGGAAAGACAAAAAAAUACAAUCGAAUUAAGCUAAGAUUUUCUUAAAAAAAUUAACUUGCAAUGAGAUUGUUUUCCUCACUAUAACCUUGUAGAGGUGUUAUAUAAGUACAUAUCAUAUGAUAAUUAUAAAUUUAAUAAUUUAAUUUUUUAAAAUUAAAUAUAUUACAAAUUAAUAUUUAUAUAAUGAUAUAUUAAAUACAUGUAAAUUUAUUAUCAUAAAUAUAUUUUUAAUUAUUAUUUAAUAUAAAUAAUUUUAUUAUAUUUUAUUAUUUUCAUUUAUAUAAAAUAUAGAAUUUUGAGUUUAUAAUAAUUUCAAAAAAUAUAUAAUUUUCAUAUUCAAAUUUUAUAUAAAUUAAAUCUAAAUAAGUAGAUAUGUAAUAAUAAAUAAAAAUUAAUAAAAAAUAUAUUUAUUAAUAAAUUUAUUAUUUACCAUGAUUGCAAAUUUAGUAUAUGUUAUAUUAUUUAAUGUUAAAUAUAAUCUUUCAUUUUACAAAUAUAAUUUAACAUCCUUAAUAAUCAAUUUAAGGUGAAAACACCUCUCUAGUCCCUUUCAAUUUUGAUAUCAUACAAAUUGGUCCUUCUAAAAAAUUUAGAGCAAUUUUAUCGUUAUUAAUUUUGAAAUUGAGCAACUAAGGAUAAUUAAUCACAACAUUAAUAUUUUUUGUCAUCUGUACACAUUUUUAUUGGUAUAAUAACAGCUUCAGCCCUAAAAGUUUACACAUUCUGUCAAUUUAGUUCUAGUUUAACAAAAUCAAUUUGCAACAUUUACACAUUAUGUAUGAACUGAAUUUGUUAUUAUACUAAUCAAAAUUAUAUACGAGUGACAAAAAAUAUUAACAUUAUUUUUAAUUGUCCUUAGUUCACCUUUGAAAUUGAUAAGGAUUAACUUGUUCCAUUUUUUAGAAAGGGCCCAUUUGCAAAAUAUUGAAUUUAAGAGGGAUCGAAGAGGUGUUUUUAUCCAUUUUUAGCCUCACCUCACUACUACAAUUGUUAUUGAAUCCAAAUAUAUAUCCAACACUGAUUAUUAUCACAUCACUACGGUAUUCAAUCUCACUAUUAUAACAACUAAUAUUACCACCAACGUUAUUUUUCAUUUCACUAGACUUGAUCCAAGUAUACAUCCAAAGAAAACCAUAAACUUAUCUAAAUACAAAUAAAACUAUAAAAAAACUUAUUUAGACAUAAAUUGAAAAUAUAAUUACUUGCUUGAGUUACACAUUUGUCCAAUUAUUCAAUUUGGUCAGAUUGAAGGUUAUUCUUUGAUAAGAUAUUAUUAUUAUUAUUAUUAUUAUUUGCUCUGGGCAAACUUAAUACAACUUGAUUUACUCUUUAUUAAUUAAAAUCAUUUUAUUUAUAUUUAAUUAUAAAAAUGUGUAAAUAUUAUUAAAACAUUAAUUUUUAAUAUUCAAUGAAUAGUGAAAUAGGGUCAACUUAUAAAGCUUAAAGUAUUUAGGAAGUCCCUAUAUUAUAGACUGUAUCAAAAUAGUCUAUUGAUUAUUAAACAGAUCAAAUUUAUUCUUGUAUUAUUAAAAAAGAAUCAAAUUAUAUCAAAUUGUAACAGAAUUAACAUUUAUUGUAACAGAAUUAAUAUUAACAGAGUUAACAAUUUUCAAUACAUUUUUAUGCAAUAAAUGUUAAUUUUGUUGUAAUUUGGUUUUAUUUGAUCAUUUUUAAUAAUACAGAGACUAAUUGACCAUUUAAUAAUAGAGGGACUAAUUUGAUGUAGUCCCUAUAAUACAGGUACUUUCACCCUUAUAUAUGUAUUUGAAUCUUAUUUUGGAUGAAAUUGAACAAUUGAAAAAGAUAAGAGUUCAAAAAGGUAAAAAUAAAUUGUAAUUACAUACAAAAUAAAUCUCCUAUUGUUUAUCUUUUGAGGCUGGUGAGAUGUUGCAGGCACUCAUCUAGCGUGUGAGUGUCCAACCCCUCUAUGUUGUGUACAUGGAAAGAUUUCAAUUUGGAGAGUGGAAGAGAAGAGGUUGAAGUUGAUGGGGCCUUAGCAUUGAUGUUCAUCUUGAUAGUCUGCUUUAACGGCCUUGAACUGGUAUUCCUCAACUCUAGCUUAUCAUCGAGUGAUGGAUACAGUGGCAUCAAAGUCAAAGGGCAAUUUACAAUCCAUAAAGAGGAAAGACAAGGAAAUGCCAUGGUUGAUGAUGUUCCCAUAACGGUUGUGUCGUCCUCGUUGGAAUCAUCAUCGAUUGGUUUUGUCGUCCUCCACCAACUCUUCAUAUUUGGGCAAUCCCGUAAGCAAAGAUACUUAAGCGAUGGGAAGAAUGAUUGUGGUUCUCCUUGACUUCCUUUUGGGCUAUUAUCAUCCAUGUACUCCAGCUUAGUACAAAAGCCAAUCUCCAGCAGUUCAAGACAGGGCAAUUGAGCAAAGGACGGGGGAUAUUUGAAAUUACCACCACUUAUGAAAAUUUUGACGAGAUUUGUGAGCAAAGAAAUCCAACUUGGAAACUCAGCAUCACCCCUCCAUCCUCCAAUAAAGAGCUCCUUGAGAUUAGAAUGGGGCUGGAGGUCUUCAAGUGACUUCUCAUUAUCAUGGUUACCACGGACCCAUAUUAAAACCAACGAUCUCAAAUGUUGCCUCUCUUUCAAAUUAGCAGCCUUAAACUUCUCUUUUGCAUUUUUUACGAAUCCACUUAAGUUGUCAAGCAGCCUCAAUUCACUUACAUCUGCACCGCCAUGGGACCCAUCUUUAUCCACUACAAACAUGCUUAACGUCUCAAGUGAAGUCAGCUUCCCUAUUCCACGUGGCAUAUGAGUUAAGCGAUUACAAUAACGACAAGAAAGAUGGGUAAGAUUCACCAAUUUUUCAAUCUUCUUUGGCAAUUCUUUAAGCCCAGUACACCAGUCAAGUUUCAGCGCUAGCAAAUUCUGAAUCUUGCAAAAACUCUUUGGGAGAAUCUUAAUAUUGUAAUUGGAAGAAAGAUCAAGGUAUCUCAAAUGUUUCAACUUACAAAUGGAGGGUGAAAUCUUUUGAAUACCUAUAGAAUUCAAUUUCAAUACACGCAAGCAUCUGCAAUUUGAAAUUAUAAAAUCCCAAGUUUCAUCACUCAAAUUUUGAUCUAUCUUGUUUGGAAAGUGUAACAAGGUUCGCAACUUCUUUCCCUUAAACAAAGGAAUUAAUGAAGGAGCAAUUGAUAUGUGGCGACAUUUUUCACCAACCUUGCUUGCAAUUUCAUUUGAGUCUACAAUACUACUCUCCGUCCCUGCUACUGAUUCAGCUAGAUCAUGCAUUAAAUCAUGCAUUUUACAUCUCAUAUUCCCAAUUCCAUAUUCUUCUACCUCUUGGAAGAAACUUCUUUCAACUAAAUCUUUAAAAUACCCAAACCCAAUCUCCUCGAGAGAUUGACUUUGAUUCAAUUGCUUUAUGAAACCCUGUGCAAUCCAAAAUUGAACAAGCGCUUGUACUUUAAUUUUGUAAUCUUUUGGAUACAAUCGGCAAUAAGCAAAGCAAUGCUUCAAAUGAGACGGAAGAUGAUCAUAACUCAAUUUCAGUAUAGGUAGAAGUUCUCCUUCAAUUUGUGAUAUUUUAGCAAGUUCAUUUUCUUUGAAAGAAUGCCACUCAUUUGCAGUUUUCUUCAAAGAUAAUAUACCAGCUAUCGUCCUUAUGGCUAAGGGAACCCCACCACACCUUUCCGAAAUCUGUCUCCCUACUUCCACAAAGGCUGAAUUUGUUGAGUCUGCAUAUCCUUGCUCAAAUGCUAUCUUUUUGAACAAAGACCAAGCAUCAUCAUCAGACAAGCCUUUCAAUUUCAAAACAUGGGAUUGACAUUUAUUAGUUAUCUCCGCUACCCUUAGAGAUCGAGUAGUUACUAUUAUCCUACUCCCUUUAGCCCCACCCAUCAAUAACUUCUUUAGCCUAGACCACCUUUCUGGGUCAUCAUUCCAAAUGUCAUCCAAAACAAGCAAAUAUUUUUUCCCAUCAAUUUUAUCUCGAAGUUGUUUUUGCAAUUGAUCCAUUUCAAGAUUUUGAUCAGGUGCUUGAUGAGUCACAGAUUUGAUAAUGUUUGCUACAAUAACUUUCACAUCAAAAUCAUCUGAAACACACGCAAACAUCGUUAAGUCAAAAUGAUUUUUGACCAUUUCAUGGUUAUAAACAAGUUGGGCCAAAGCAGUCUUCCAUAACCCUCCAAACCCCACAAUUGGAAUGAUAUAAACAUUCUCUUCACUUUGAAACUCCAACACGAGUUUUAGAAGAGCUGCUUUAUCAUCAUCCCUCCCUAUUAUGUCAUCUUCACGCUCAAAAGAGUGCGUUUGCUGCCUCACUUUCAAUUGAAGCUAAUCUCGCCUUAAUGGCCUUCAUUUUCCAACCCAUUUUGAGACCACAAACAAAUUGGUUUGAGGUUGAGAAGAAAAGGCGUACCUCUUUCGUCAACUUGUUCCCACCCGAUACAUCUUUCCGCAAAGCUUCAGUAGAGAAAUCAUCGAGCAAGUCGUCGGUAUCAUAAAGUACAUGUUUCAGCUCUUCAAGCCAAACUUUGACGAGAUUGUCGGUCACCGAUUUCUCUUCUGCGUCAAGAAGCACAGCUUUGAUUUGACAGACAGUGUGUUUGAGGUCGUGGAUGUCAUGUUUUAGAUUCCACCACAGCGCAACUUGAGAGAGAGCACGAGAGCUCAACUUAAUAAUGAGCUCUGUGGCAAUGUCGGAAGCAAUUGCUUCGGCCAUUGUUGGUUCAAACUUCAAACUGAAAUCAAGGCAAAAAGUGUUUGAUUCGUGAAAGAGGAGGACUAAAAUGAGAAUGAUUGGAACAAGAUAAAACACAGAUUCGAAGGCUUUGUUUUGAAAGUAAGAUUACACUGCACCUGUUCAUAGACUCGAAGGCUCCUUCGAAAUUCGGAAAGGUUUGGGCAAAAAAUAUUAAGCCCAAAAAUAGACUUGGGUAAAAAAAAAUAUGCUUCCUUAAAAUAUGGGUCGGGCUUGAGCUUGAACAUUUAAGGCAAAAGCUUGACCCAAUCCGAUCCGUUUUAAGUUUAUGUUAUUUUUAUAAAUUAUGUAAUUCAUAACACAUUAAAAAAAUAAAUAUAUAAUACUACUCUAAUGUAAACUUUUAAAAAAAUAUUAAGAUGACUAUAUAAAAAAUUUCAAUAAAUAAAAAAGUAUAAAAUUAUUAAAUAUUAAAAUAAUAUAAUAUAAAUAUUUUUAAAAAUUUUUAAAAAAACAAUAUGGGUGGGCCUAAAAUAGGCUUAGGUUAGUAUUUUACAAAUAUGUACGAGUUUGGACAAAAUUUUAAGUUUAGAUUUCGAGUUGGAUCGGGCCUGGACAAGCAUAAAGUAUAUUAAUAUCAUACUUAGACUUAACCCGAACCCAAUCAACCUAGCCCAUAAACACCUCUAAAAUACACUUUAAAAGAUAAUAUUUGGAUAAGGAUAAAAAUGUUUAAUGAUCUCAAAUUUCUCUACUUCUUCUCUAAAUCAUUCAUAAAAAGGAUGACAAUCAUUUCAUAAUUUUGGUACAAAAUUCCUCUUCAUUUAAAAUUAAACCAACAACAACCAAGUAAAAAAUUGCCAAUAUAAAAUCUUUCACUGCUCCAAACCUAUUAUUCAAACUCUUUUUUCCAACAUGACAUAAAAAUGUGUAACAUGUUAGAAUAAUUAGGUGUUAUUGUAUUAAUCUAAAACGAAAUCUGAUUAAGAGGUCUAAUUUGAAAAUAGUAUGUUUUAAUUAACGUUAGUUUUAAAUUCACAAAAUUAAGAUAGCCAUUUGUGUAAAACGAGUUUAGUAUUGAUAAUUGAUAUUUUAAAAAGAUCAAGCCACCUAUACGGUUAAUGUGAUCUCUUCAGCUCGGUUCUACUGUCUAGGCCGGGUUGAGAAGGUUACAGAAUAAGGUAAAAUUUCCAAUAAUAAAAUGAUGUUAUAGAAAGUGGUUGUUCUAUGAAUAGUAUGUGUCGGUAAUGUUGCCUAAUGCAUUAUUAUCUCUUUCUUCUUCUUUUUAGAUCCUUACAAUUUCCAUGGUAGUAAUGGAAGCAUAAGCAUGUAGAAGCAAUGGUGGCCAACAACAGGUGCAACACAAGGCAUUUCAUCAAAAGAUCGUAAAUGCUUAUAUUCCCAUUCACACUAUUCUAUUUAUCAUCAAAAGAUUCUUAAGGGUGAGUAGGAAUAUGGAUGCUUAACCAUUAAGCCAAACAUAUCGUAAGAUGAAGCUUCAAUUUUGGUUUGCUAACAAUCUUCUUUUUUGGAGGUCGUAGCAAUUACGACAAUUUUCAAUUUAUCCAUUUUGUGAUGAUUUUACAAAUAGUUCAAGUUUAUGAACUAAAUUGAUUUUUCAUAAAGUUGGAAGGUCAAAUAAAUAAUUAUGCUAAAAUAUAAUAGAUGAUUUAAAACCAAAUGAAAAUAUUUAUUUAUUAGAAUUUGAAGUUGCAAUUUCUUGAAAGUUUUUUUAAAAAUAAAGAUGUCUAUUUAUUUGUUUUCUUCACCAAAACUAUUCACAGCUUUAUCUUAAAAGAGAAAGAAAAAAGAAAUCUGAAGUAAAAAAAAAAAUGAGAAAAUAGUAAUCUUAAAGCUUGAUUCAAUCACUUUUUCCUUUUCUUUUUUUUUAAUUGAAAUGUUUUUUCCUCUACUGCAUCCUUAAAAAAAUAGAUCAAUAAAUAAUAAUUAAAAGGGUAAACUAUCAAAAUAGUCAUAUUUAUUUGCCUCAGGUUACAUUUUAGUCAGUGAGUCAUUAAUUGUUAUUAACGGUGUACCAGUAAGCUGAUGUGGCAAGUUAAAUCAUCAUUUCAAAUGAAAAUUUUAGGUUAAAUUCUAUAAUUGGUCCCUAUAUUUUUUCAUUUGAGCAACUUAAUUUUCUUUUAUGUUUAUUUAACUUCUUUUUUUUUCUUUAUUUUACUUUCUCUUCUGCUUCUCUCUCUGUUUUCCUCCCUUAUUCAUUUUUUUAACGUAAUUUUUCUAUGAUUUUCAUUUGUUAAAACUAGUCCCUAUACUUUAAUAAAUCAAUAAAUCAUAAUUAAAACACUAACUUUGAGUAAUAUAAUUUUUUUAACUUAAUAAAUUUUCAUUCCGGAACAAAUAUGAUUUCAAUUAAUAUAUAUAAUCAUUUAGGUGGAGCAAGGAAAUAAUUUUGAUUGGACUAAUAAUAUUAUACGAGUCAAUAAAACUCAUUGAAAUAUUAUUUCAAAUUGCAGAGUUGUAAGAUUAAAUUAGAUGUGAUCAUGGGUCGGGUUUAGACAUAAUAUUAACUCAUUUUAUAUUUCGUCCGUCAAAAUUUGAAUGUUCAUGCUUGGAAACCGUAACAAGAAGGAAAUAAUGAAGGAUUAAUUGGUAAGUGGAGAUAUUUUUCACCAUCCUUAAAUUUAAAGUUGUCAAAGAAAAUCUGUAGCGAAGAGUAGUAAUGGGAGCAUAAGCAUGUAGAAGCAAUAUUGGUGGGAUUUCAUCUUAUUAGCUGCUUUGGAAGAGGUUCUUAAGGAUGAGUAGGAAUAUGGAUGCUUAACCAUUCAGCUUAAUUCUCAUUAAGCUGUUUAAAAUUUUUGAAAAUUUUAAUUCCAAAUUUGACUUCAUUUAUUCUCUUAUAGUUAUAGUUUAUUUGAAUGCUUGGAACUAAGCUUUCACGUUGUUACAUUAUUGAAAAUUACUUGUAUUUUGAUAAGGAAAAUAAAGAGAAAAAUAACAAUUGAUUUUUUUAUCUAUUUUAUCUAUUUUAGAGUGAUUUGAAAAAUAAUACAAGUUUAAGGACUAAAUUAAUUUUAUAAGGAUGAUUAUAUAUUAAAGUUUGACAAUGAUUGUACAAAGCUAUUUUAUUCAUAACCAAGUCAAGAAAUUGUCACUCCACACAGUUGUCUACUUUUUCAAAAUCUACUUUAAAAGAUAGCACCUCCCCUUCUUCACAUCUUUGAAUAUAGUUCACAGUUUCGUUUUUACUGGAGCACGAUCCAGGAUUUAUCAAUCUGAAAUAAAAGUAAAAUUGAAUUUUAUCGAUUGUUCUGAGCCGAGCUUUGAAUCUAUAAAGUCAAAAUUUUUCAAUGGGGUUAGUGGACUUUACUUUAGUUUAAUUGAAAAUAGCUUUGAACAUAUAUAGACAUCUUUUCUCCCCUUGCUUGAGCUGUUGAACUAAACUAACUUUAUUCAUAUAAUAUUAAUUUUACCCAAAAUUUUCCGUUUCAACGAAAACAAAAUUCCUAAAAUACAAAAGUUAAUGGAAGAUAAAGAAGACAUUGGAUCUAGGUUUAGUUGUUUUGUAAUAAGCUAAAAGGGAUGCAGUUGUUGCAGGGCAUCCAUAUUUGUAUCCUCAACAUUUGGUAACUGAUGGGAGCUAUGCUAAACAUUCAACCAAUCAUUAGGUACUGAAACGUUUUCAUUAAAUGAUAGUCUUACAUAAUGUACACAAGAUUGCCUGAUAGUUAGUUGUGUUUCCAUGUGUUGGAUUAUUAUUUGAAACCCCAAAAGAGAAAAAUGUAUUUUUUUUUUUAAGAUGGCACACACAAAAGUAAAAAUAAAGGAGAAUAAAGAACACAACCAAGAUGUUUACGUAGUUCAGAACUCAUCCUACAUUUGUGAGCUUUGUCUAGAGAUAAAAUCGCUAUAAACUUUACAGUACAAUGAAAUUAUUUAUGCCCAACUCUCCAAACUUGGUGCAACCUCACCUUUGUACAAUUAAGUAAACACUCUUCCAACUUAGUGAAAAUCAACACUCAUAAGGUGGCACUCAACUAAUAGUUACUAACUAAAUGUUCCUUUUAAGUCCACAAAUCAUCAAUUUAUACAAGCUCCAAGAUCAGAUGAUGAAGAAUGCAUACAGAUUGAGUCUUCAACAAAGAAAAAAAGAAAAAGAAAGAACAAAUGUGCAUAGAGAGGAGGAUUUCAUGGGAGCACAAUGCCAUGGACAGAUCAGCUGAUGAAGAAUGCAUGUCCUGGUUUUUGGCUCUUCCAUUGAACUCAUGCUGAAAAAGAAGCAGCUUAGUUACGAGGUUAUAUUAGAUCAUUUGAAAUUAUGAGAUUAUUAUGAUUUUAAAAAUGUAAAGCAAUUAAGUAAUUACCACCUAUUUUUCUGCAUCUAAAUUCUUGAAGUUGUCAAAUGCCUUUCAGAAAAAUACAUGCCAAUCGAAUAUGUGGGCAGAUAAACAAAUGAGGGUAGAAAGUAUGAUCUCUGCUUUUUGUAUUGCAUGCUAUGCUCCGCCGAAGAAUAAAGCCAAAAGCUAACAAAAAUGAAGGGUAAAAAGAUUAAAAAUUUCAAGAUAAAACAUAAAAUUGUAUGUACAUAUGAUUAAGAUUUAAAUUAGGAAAAUGAACAAAGCAGAGCAUGAAGUAGAAGCAUAUUGAAGGCUGGCAUGCAAGCAUUUUGGAAAAUGCCCAUUGGGUACCAAUAAAGAUUUUUUAGAAUUAAAGUAUUAGAAGCUAUGAAAUGAUAGAUAUGAACCACCAAAAUGCUUCACACUACAUCUAAAUUAUUCAAUUUUGUUUUAUGGAAUCAAAUAGAAAAUAAAUGAGUGGCAUGAAUUACCUGUCAUUCCUUGUUGGUAUUUGGUGUAAGCUGCAAUUUCAAAUGUGUAUACACAUAUGGAUUUCAUCAGAUCAUUGCGAUGGUGAGAUUAAUAUAAUUUAAAAGCGUAAAGCAAUUAGCUAGAUUACCACUUUUUUUUUCUGCGUUUGAAUUCUUGAAAUUGCCAAAUUCGUUUCACUAAAAGUCUUCGAUGCUUACUGCACAAACUAGCCAAAUAAAAUGAUAAAUAAAGAAAUUGCACCAAAAGCUUGUUCUAUUUUGGCAAAAGAGGCUGUAGUUGGAGAGUCAAUAUACCAACCUGUAGCGAUCUGAGCAAUAUUAUGCCAAUCGGCACCAAUCCCCUUUCGAUAUCUUUCCUCCAACUGAGGAAUUCGUUUCAUAAAGAACUCUUCCAAACUGGUUCUCGUCCGGAAGCGAUGUUAAAUUAGGCAAAUAAGAGAGAAUAAGCCUUGGAAGAUUUGUUCGAUGUUGAAGCCACUCCGGAAGAUGGCGACACUUUAGAAUCUUUGCCAGCGUUAGAGAGCGCAGGCUUAUAUGAUCUUGGAAUAUUUGGAAGUUAGGUGCAGAUAACUCCAGCUCCUUGCAGUUACUUAUUGCAUGCCCUCUAAAUCAACCUCCUUGCAAUCUCCUAUUGUCAAUUUUUUGAGGCCGGUGAAAACAGAUUAAUGGAAACCAUGUAGUUUUCAAAGGUGAAUAAAUAAGGAAAAUUAAGAUCGGUGUUAACAAUUUUUACUAAUAUUUUGAAAACAUUUUAAAACAUUUUAAAUAAUAUUUUAGCUAACCAAAUUAAAAAUUGUACCCUAACCAAAUUAUAGACAAGUGUAUUUGAUUAAUUUAAAAAAAAAUUAUUUUAGCUUAUAUAAGGGUUAAAAUAUUUGGAAAGUUUAAAAUUAGUCCCUCUAUUAUUAAAUGGACCAAUUUUAUCCCAAUACUACUAAAAAGAACUAAAUAAGGUUAAAUUGUAACAGAUUUAACAUUAAUAGAAUUAACAAAUUUCAAUAUAUUUUUUAUAAAAUAAACCUUGAAUUUGUUAUAAUUUAACUUUAUUUGAUCAAUUUUAAUAGUACAGGUAAUAAAUUAAUAGCAUUAACAAAUUUCAAUAUAUUUUUUAUAAAAUAAAUGUUUUGCCUUUGAUGGAUGUUUGAAAAAUGAUUCAGUUGACAUCCAUAAUGUCUAUCACUAUAGUUUCCCCCUUAUGUAGAAUAUGACUGCUAGUUUGUCAGGCAAAAUUAUGUUCGUAUAUUAUGUUCUUUUUCUUAUUGUCUUCAACACGAUAACAAGUGAAUUACUAGUUACUUUACUUGAUUUUGUCAUGCCAUUUAUCUCUUUGAGUUUUGGCCUUUCUGAAUUAACUUUUGAAUCACGUAGUGAAGCAUUUCUGAUGGUUCUUAUGACUAACAGUAGGCUUUCUUAUCCAAGCUCUCCUACAUAUGCAUUUCUUAAACUUAUGCUCUUUUCUUCAUUUCAGUUGGUUGUUAAUCUUGAUAUAACCAUGCACAAAUACUAAUACUAAGGGACCUUGUAAUUUUGCCUGCCAUUGGAACUAUUCUGAAAUAUUGCUGAUUUUUCUCAGCAAUUAAAGAGGAAGAGCGCAGCAGACAAAAAUGAAGUUGAGUCUAGCCAACAUAAUACAAGAUGUGUUAUUCAACUUGUAGUUUGAUGUGUGCCAACAUAAGCAUCAACACACAAGUCAUACAUAUAAACAGCCAGGAAACCGACAUCUUUUGGAAGAGUCCUAAUCCAAGCAUCAUAAUUGAACAUAGUCUUGGAAUACUGUCUAAAAAAAUGGUUGUCUCAUCAUCAAUUGUGCAUCCCUGCAUUUGAAUGCUGUUUCGAACACUAAAAAAACAUAAAUGUGUUUUUUCUGAGUUGACACGUAUUAUGCAACAAGGAAAACAAAGAGCACAAUUAAGAUGUUUACACAGUUCAAAACUAGUCCUACAUCUGCGGCGCCUUACCCAAAGAUGAAUACACUAUGAACUUCAUAGUACAAAGAAAUGAUUUAAGCCCAACCCCUCUAACACUUGAUGCAAUCUCAACUUCAACCUCACCACCAAAUAUUCUGAAGCAUCUUCCUUUUUUUCCUGUUUGGACCUUCAAAAUAACAAACUUGGCUGGAACUCCAAACAGCUAAAAGAGUACCCUACAUCAAUAAAUAUUAUGAAUUUGAAUACCUCCAAAAGCCUGUCAAUAUCACAGGUACCAUCUAAGAUAGUAAUCAGCUGGCAUAUAUUAAGAGAAAAUAUAAAUAUAUAUAAAGAUGUGAUAGGUAAGUACUUAAAUGAAGAAAGCAGAGCAUAUAGUACAACCAUUUUGAAGGCUUCAUAGGCCUCUCUCUCCACAUCAAUGAUUUUUUAGAAUUAAAUUAUUAGAAGCAAUUGUCAAGUUAUUAUUAUGAUUUAAAAGUAAAAAGCAAAUAGAUAAAUUAGUACCUCUUUUUAUGCAUAUAAAAUGAUUGAAGUUGACUAAUGCCUUUCUCCAAUGCCUUACUGCACAAAUCACCAAAAAUACUAUGAAAGAUGAUAAGUAAAAAGUAGGAUUAAAACAAAGGGAUUUUAACAAGGAAGUUAACAGUAUCCAACUUCAAUGAAAAAUGGCAUCCAGACCCCUGACUUGGAGAUUCAAUAUACCACUCUUAUUUUUCUUCAAAAAAAAGAUAAGGUCAUCAAAAUAAAUAAAUAACAAAGAUAGACCAACCUGAUACAACCGAAUGUCGGGGAUGUGAGCAAUCUUUUGCCAAUCAGCGCCAAUGUCCUUCCGACAUCUUUCCUUCAACUGAGGAAUUUCUUGUACUUGUAAAUACUCCAAACUGGUUAGGCAACGCAUCUCGUCCGGAAGAGAUGUUAAAUUGGGCAAAUUAACGAGAUAAAGCCGUUGCAGAUUUGUUAGAUGUUGAAGCCACUCCGGAAGAUGCCGACACUUUGGAAUAUAUUCCAGCCGUAGAGAGCGUAGGCUUGUAUGAUCUUGGAAUAUUUGGAUGCCAGCUCCAGAUAACUCCAGCUCCUCGCAGUUCCUUACUUCAAACUCUUCAAGGAAAGUGAGAUGUUGGAACACAGGAAGCAGUGACCUCAAUCCAUUCCAGUUAUGAAUUUUUAAUGUUUUCAAUUGAACAAGAUGUUGAAGCCAAAUGGGGAGAGACACCAGCUUUGGAAUAUUAUAAAUCUCCAAAUGAGAGAGAUUCUUAAGGGGUUCCCAUUGCAUGCCCUCUAAAUCAACCACCUUGCAAUCUCCUAUUGUUAAUCUUUUGAGGCUGGUGAGAUGUUGCAGGCACUCAUCUAGCGUGUGAGUGUCCAACCCCUCAAUGUUGUGUACAUGGAAAGAUUUCAGUUUGGAGAGUGGAAGAGAAGAGGUUGAAGUUGAUGGGGCCUUAGCAUUGAUGUUCAUCUUGAUAGUCUGCUUUAACGGCCUUGAACUGGUAUUCCUCAACUCUAGCUUAUCAUCGAGUGAUGGAUACAGUGGCAUCAAAGUCAAAGGGCAAUUUACAAUCCGUAAAGAGGAAAGACAAGGAAAUGCCAUGAUUGAUGUUCCAAUAACUGUUGUGUCGUCCUCGUUGGAAUCAUCAUCGAUUGGUUUUGUCAUCCUCCACCAACUCUUCAUAUUCGGACAGUCCCAGAGCGAAAGAUGCUUAAGUGAUGGGAAGAAUGAUUGUGGUUCUCCUUGACUUCCUUUUAGGCUAUUAUCAUCCAUGUACUCCAGCUUAGUACAACGCUCAAUCUUCAGCAGUUCAAGACAGGGCAAUUGAGCAAAGGACGGCAAAUAUUUGAAAUUAUCACCGCUUAUGAAAAUUUUGACGAGAUUUGUGAGCAAAGGAAGCCAACUUGGAAACUUGGCCUUGCCCCUCCAUCCUGCAAUACAGAGCUCCUUGAGAUUAGGAUGGGGCUGGAGGUCUUCAAGCGACUUCUCAUCGUCAUCAUCAAAACGAAGGCUCCAUUCUAAAAGCAACGAUCUCAAAUGUUGCUUCUCUUUCAAAUUAGCAGCCUUAAACUUCUCUUUUGCAUUUUUUACGAAUCCCAAAUUUCUUAUUCUUAACUCUCCCCUUAAGUUGCUAAGCAGUCUCAAUUCACUUAGAUCUGCACCGCCAUGGGACCCAUCUUCAUCCACUACAAGCAUGCUUAACGUCUCAAGUGAAGUCAGCUUCCCUAUUCCACGUGGCAUAUGAGUUAAUUCCCAACAAUCUUUACACCUAAGAUGGGUAAGAUUCACCAAUUUUUCAAUCUUCUUCGGCAAUUCUUUAAGCCCAGUACACCAGUCAAGUUUCAGCGCUAGCAAAUUCUGAAUCUUGCAAAUACUCUUUGGGAGAAUCCUAACGGGAUUCUCAGAAAGAUCAAGGUACCUCAAAUGUUUCAACUUACAAAUGGAGGGUGAAAUCUUAUGAAUACCUAUAGAAUUCAAUUUCAAUACACGCAAGCAUCUGCAAUUUGCAAUUAUCAAAUCCCAAGUUUCAUAGCUGAAAUCUUGACUUAAUCCGUAUUGAAAAUGUAACAAGGUUCGCAACUUCUUUCCCUUAAACAAAGGAAUUAACGAAGGAUUAAUUGAUAUGUGGCGACAUUUUUCACCAACAUCACUUGCAAUUUUAUUUGAAUCUACAAUACUACUCUCCAUCCCUGCUACUGAUUCAGCUAGAUCAUGCAUUAAAUCAUGCAUUUUACAUGUCAUAUUCCCAAUUCCAUAUUCUUCUACCUCUUGAAAGAAACUUCUUUCAACUAAAUCUUUAAAAUACCCAAACCCGAUCUCCUCCAGAGAUUGACUUUGAUUCAAUUGCUUUAUGAAACCCUGUGCAAUCCAAAAUUGAACAAGCGCUUGUACUUGAAUUGUGUAAUCUGUUGGAUACAAUCGGCAAUAAGCAAAGCAAUGCUUCAAAUGAGACGGGAGAUGAUCAUAACUCAAUUUCAGUAUAGGUAGAAUUUCUCCUUCAAUUUGUGAAAUUUUAGCAAGUUCAUUUUCUUUGAAAGAAUGCCACUCAUUUGCAGUUUUCUUCAAAGAUAAUGUACCAGCUAUCGUCCUUAUGGCUAAGGGAACCCCACCACACCUUUCCGAAAUCUGUCUCCCCACUUCCACAAAGGCUGAAUUUGUUGAGUCUGCAUAUCCUUGCUCAAAUGCUAUCUUUUUGAACAAAGACCAAGCAUCAUCACCAGACAAGCCUUUCAAUUUCAAAACAUGGGAUUGACAUUUAUUAGUUAUCUCCGCUACCCUUAGAGAUCGAGUAGUUACUAUUAUCCUACUCCCUUUAGCCCCACCCAUCAAUAACUUCUUUAGCCUAGACCACCUUUCUGGGUCCUCAUUCCAAAUGUCAUCCAAAACAAGCAAAUAUUUUUUCCCAUCAAUUUUAUCUCGAAGUUGUUUUUGCAAUUGAUCCAUUUCAAGAUUUUGAUCAGGUGCUUGAUGAGUCACAGAUUUGAUAAUGUUUGCAACAAUAACUUUCACAUCAAAUUCAUCUGAAACACACGCAAACAUCGUUAAGUCAAAAUGAUUUUUGACCAUUUCAUGGUUAUAGACAAGUUGGGCCAAAGCAGUCUUCCCUAACCCUCCAAACCCCACAAUUGGAAUGAUAUAAACAUUCUCUUCACUUUGAAACUCCAACACGAGUUUUAGAAGAGCUGCUUUAUCAUCAUCCCUCCCUAUUAUGUCAUCUUCACGCUCAAAAGAGUGCGUUUGCUGCCUCCUUUUAGUCAUGAAAGAGGUUUCCGCGGGGCGAUCACGUGGAAUGAAGCCAAAAGUGUUGGCCCCACUUUCAAUUGAAGCUAAUCUCGCCUUAAUGGCCUUCAUUUUCCGACCCAUUUUGAGACCAUAAGCAAAUUGGUUUGAGGUUGAGAAGAAAAGGCGUACCUCUUUCGUCAGCUUGUUCCCACCCGACAGAUUUUUCCGCAAAGCUUCAGUAGAGAAAUCAUCGAGCAAGUCGUCGGCAUCAUAAAGUACAUGUUUCAGCUCUUCAAGCCAAACUUUGACGAGAUUGUCGGUCACCGAUUUCUCUUCAGCAUCAAGAAGCAAAGCUUUGAUUUGACAGACAGUGCGUCUGAGGUCGUGGAUGUCAUGUUUGAGAUUCCACCACAGCCCAACUUGAGAGAGAGCACGAGAGCUCAACUUAAUAAUGAGCUCUGCGGCAAUGUCGGAAGCAAUUGCUUCGGCCAUUGUUGGUUCGAACUGAAAUCAAGGCAAAAAGUGUUUGAUUCGUGAGAGAGGAGGACUAAAAUGAGAACAAUCCCAGCAAGAUGAAACACAGAUGUGGAUCCAUCCACCCAGCAAGUAGUAUAAUUAAAUAAAAAGUAAUGUUGAUUGGUGGGAAAUGGUCCCUCCAUGUUUACUGUUUGACACAAAUUUCUGAAUGGAGACAAAGUUGAGAUGAUGACACUAGGGGUGCUCUGCACAACGUACAAAUAAUUGAAAUUAAUGAAAAAGCUAUGAAAGAAAAGAGAAAAAGGAGACAAAUCCCAUGGAAUCCAAGGUGUUUUGAUUGACGCCAAUGCAUUCUGGUCUUUCUAAGGAUGGGUUUGGAUGGGCGAUUGGGUGCGGUGCGGUGCGUUUAACUUACUUUUGGUGUCACGCUACAGUAUCGCUACAGUAUUUAAUCUCACCACCACCUCUGUUUUUACACUAUCCACAGAUAAACGCACCGCCAAUCCAAACUCAUCCUAAACCUUCUUCCCACUUACUUUUGUGUAAUUGAGUGAGUCUCAAUACUCGGUUCUAACUUAAAUUUAAUAUUUUAUUUUUGAGUUUAACUUCGGUUAAAUAUAUAAAAUUAAAAUUAAAAUUCAUUGGCCAUUAGAAUCAAAUAUUAUUAAAUUCGAAUAUGAUUAAAUCAAUAAUUUAAACAUAACUUAUUGACUACUAAAUCAAAUUUAAAUCUUUUUCGAAUCGAAUUUAAUUAACUUACAAAUAUGAUUAUCAUGUCCUCCUUGUGAAAACUAAAGCAGUUGACAGUGCUAGUACAAUCUGCUUCAAAAAUGACAUUAUCGACUUUAAGAAAUUGAGCAAGCCGAAAACCAUCGAUGAGGGCAUCUAAUUCUGCUUUAAUAGUGAUUUUUUAUUCUCAUUUUAUCGGUAUAUUUACAUUUGAAUUCAAAUACAUAUUCUAUAAUUAACUUUAAUCUCACUGUUACAAUACUUAACCUCACUAAAUUACUUGUUUAACAUAAUUAUGGUGAAUUUAUAGAAAGAACAAUCACGAAGCAAAUGUAGAUGCACUUAUGUUUAAAAUGUUAUUAAUGAAAAUUUUAUUAUUUUAAAAAAUAAAAGUAUAAUAACUUUUUUGGCAUUCUAACUUUAUAAAAGAAUUAUUUUAGCUCUCUAUUUAUUUUCCUUCUUUUUUAGUCUUUCAUUUUACAUUUUUUUGUCAAACCAUCCAAAAUGGGUGAAAAAGUUGACGUUAAUUAACUUUGUUGACAUGACAUAUAGGUAGAUUACCACGUGUAUGUCACUUUAGCAAUUAAUUAUUUAAAAAAUAUUAAAAAAAUAUUUUCUUAUAAAUUUUAAAAUAUUUUUUAAAUUUUUUUAAAAUUUUAAAAAAUAUUUUAUUGCUUAUGUGGCAUAUACGUGGCAAUCUGCGUGUAUGUCACAUCAGUAAAAUCAAUGGACGUUAAUUUUUCACUCAUUUUGAAGUGAUUUGACAAAAUUUACAAGUUUAAGAACUAAAAGAAACGAAAAAUUAAAUGGAGAGUUAAAAUGACUUUUUCUAUAAAGUUGGAGACCAAAAGAAUCAUUAUGGCAAAAAAUAGUUGUCUUUCAUCUCUCUCUCUCUCUCUUUUUUGGUUAUUUUUUAGUGUUAAAAUUCAAGAUGGUAUGGAAUAGUUUUUAAUCUUAUUAUUGUUAUAUAUAUAUAUAUAUAUAUAUAUAUAUAUAUAUUUUCGAUCUCAUUAGAGUUAAUCUCACUGUCAAUAUAAAGAGAGCCUAAAUAUAAUUUGUUCAUCUUCUUUUAAACAUGUUAGUGCUCCUUUGUAUGAUCAUUUACCUCCUGUAAGUAGGAUUGAGUAAAUAAAAUAAUUAAAAAUCGAUUCAAAUCAAGGUGUUUAGACGGUUUACAGAAUACAAAUUAAAAAAUCACAAUUAUCCGAAACUAAAUCAAAUUCUAUUUUUUAUUUAAUUUAUAAAUAAAUUUAUUUUUUAUAAUAUAAAAAUAAAUCUUUUAUAUUUAAAAAUAGUGAAAAUAAAUAUAUUUUAAAAAUAUUAUAUAAAAGUAUUUGAUUAUUUUUAUUUACUUAGAAAAAAUUUAAAAAUAUCUUUGAUAUAAACUUUCAAAAUUUUUCAAAUGAUAUUUAAAAACUGUAAAAAAAAAGUUUAUUUCAUGAAAAUAAUUAUAAAAAUUUAUAAUAAAACUUUGAACUAAACUAAAUUAUAAUGGACGGAUUAAAAAAUAGAAUCGAAUUAAACAAAUAUCACUUGAUUUUAUUGCACUAAACUGGACAUAAAAGAUUUUCUUAAAAAAUUUAACCUGCAAUGAGAUUGUUUUUCUCACUAUAACCUUCUAGAGGUGUUAUAUAAGUACAUACCAUUGAUAAUUAUAAAUUUAAUUAUUUAAUUGUUAUAAAAAUUAAAUAUAUUACAAAUUAAUAUUUAUAUAAUGAUAUAUUGAAUACAUGUAAAUUUAUUAUCAUAAAUAUAUUUUUAAUUAUUAUUUAAUAUAAAUAAUUUUAUUAUAUUUUAUUAUUUUCAUUUAUAUAAAAUAUAGAAUUUUAAGUUUAUAAUAAUUUCAAAAAAUAUAUAAUUUUCAUAAUCAAAUUUUAUAUGAAUUAAAUCUAAAUAAGUAGAUAUGUAAUAAUCAAUAAAAAAUUAAUAAAAAUAUAUUUAUUAAUAAAUUUAUUAUUUACCAUGAUUGCAAAUUUAGUAUAUAUUAUAUUAUUUAGUGUUAAAUAUAAUCUUUCAUUUUACAAAUAUAAUUUAACAUCCUUAAUAAUCAAUUUAAGGUGAAAACACCUCUCUAGUCCCUUUCAAUUUUGAUAUCAAGCAAAUUGGUCCUUUUAAAAAAUUUAGAACAAUUUUAUCAUUGUUAAUUUUGAAAUUGAGCAACUAAGGAUAAUUAAUCACAACGUUAAUAUUUUUGUCAUCUAUACAUAAUUUUAUAGGUAUAAUAACAACUUUAGCCCUAAAAUUUUACACAUUUUGUCAAUUUAGUUCUAGUUUAACAAAAUCAAAUUGCAACAUUUACACAUUAUGUACGAACUGAAUUUGUUAUUAUACUAAUCAAAAUUAUAUACGAGAGACAAAAAAAUAUUAACAUUAUUGUUAAUUGUCCUUAGUUCACUUUUGAAAUUGAUAGGGAUUAAAUUGCUCCAUUUUUUUAGAGGGGCCAAUUUGCAAAAUAUUGAAUUUAAGAGGGAUUGAAGAGGUGUUUUUAUCCAUUUUUAACCUCACCUCACUACUACAAUUGUUAUUGAAUCCAAAUAUAUAUCCAACACUGAUUAUUGUCACAUCACUAACGUAUUCAAUCUCACUAUUACAACAACUAAUUUUACCACCAACGUUAUUUUUAAUUUCUUUAGAAUUCAUCCAAUUAUACAUCCAAAGAAAACCAUAAACUUAUCUAAAUAAUUGUUAUAAAAAUUAAAUAUAUUACAAAUUAAUAUUUAUAUAAUGAAUACAUGUAAAUUUAUUAUCAUAAAUAUAUUAUUCAUUGAAUAUUAUUAUACGUGAUUUUAUAUAUUUAUUUUUUAUUCACUGAAUAAUAUAUUUUUAUUUUAUGUAAUUAAUACAAAUAUAAUAUUAUUCAAAUUGUGGUACAUAAUUAAAAUAGUGUAACAAUAAAAAAUUCAAACAUAAAAGUUUGGAAGUAAAUAAUAAUGAAAUAAAAUUUUUAGUGAUUUUAACUACUAAUUUAAUAAAAAAUUAAAACAUACUAUUCUUAUGUAUAAUUUAUAAUUUAAUAUAAAAUAUAAUUUUAAUUAUUUUUAAUAUAAACAUAGUUUUGAUAUUUUUAAUUAUUAUUUAAAAUAUUUUAUUAUAAUAUAUAAAUUAAUAUAUAUAUAAUAUAAAAAUCUAUAAAAGAAUUCCAAAUUUCAAUUAUUAUAAUAUAAAUUUUAUAUCUAAAAAUCCUGAAUUAAAUUAAAUUAAUUCAAUUGAAUUGGACAAACAAAUUCGACCGAAAAUCAUUUGAUAUGAUUGGUUGGAUUACCAAUCUAAUUUUAAAAACCUUGACCAGGACAACAUCAAUAUGUGAAUUUGUUUAAUAUUGUUUAUUUAAUAAGUCUAAAUUUUGAGCAUCUAAAAUGUUAAUAAAAUCUUAUUUCUAAUUAUUUUCAUACAUUGAAUAUGUCAUUUCACUUUGUUAGAACUUGUUUAAAAGAAUAUUGUAUGCUUCAAUGGAAGUCACAAUUUUACGGAAAAAUUUCGUAAAAAUUUCGUUCGAAAAUUUCGACGUUUGGGCACUCAAUUUAGUCAAAAGGACUAAAUUGUAAAAAGUGCCAAAGUUGAGUUCUACAUGUUAGAAGUGUCUAAUUGUUAUGAGAUUAUAAGUUGGGGGUCCUUAUGUGGUAAUUAGACCAUUAGUUAAUUUAUGGACAAAAAUAGACAUAAGAAAUGGGUGAAAUAUAUAUUUUUUAAGUAGGGGCAUUUUAGUCAUUUGGUAAUAAAAAGAAUAAAAUGGGAAAAAGAUGACAAAAAUCAUCAUCUUCUCCAUAAGUUGCUGUCAAAUUUGAAGAGUCACCAUAGCUAGGGUUUCUUCACUUUCUCAAGCUCAUAGUAAGUGCAUCCUAGCCCUGUUUUUAAUGUUCUUCGCAUUUUUGGAAUCCUCGUAGCUCGGUUUAGCUUAUUCUAUCAAUAAUUCAUGUUAGGGUUCAUAUUUGGAAAAAUAUCCAUAGGUGAAAUGUGUUUAUUUUUCUGUUUUAUGGUAGAAUAUGAAGCUAGAAAUUAUGUUAAACAACUUUUGCUAAGUGAUUUUAAGCAAAAACGAGUAAAUCGACAUAAUCGGUAAAAAUAUUUAUUGUUCAUAAGUGUAUGUUAGAGUGAGAAUUUGAUGUUGCCAUAGAAGGGAAAAGUGUUCAGCAUGUUGUAAAACAUAAGAAUAAGGUGUGAAAUUUAAUUUUCGAGCUUGGGGACAAAAAUGUAAUUAUGCAAAAGUUUAGGGGCAAAAUUGUAAUUUUAUAAAAGUUGAGUCGAAGCUUGUUUUAAUAAAUGUGAAUAUUAAACAAGCUCAAUUUUCUGUUAUAGAUCAAGAAAGAUGAGAAAUCAACCUUAAUCGGGGAAAAGAGAAGAUUGAGGAUUAAAUUGCAAAAUCUUUACAUUUUGUAUCGAGGUAAGUUGUAUGUAAUUAAUAUUGUUAUAAUUGUUUUCGUUAUAUUUUGUGACAAUAUACGUGAAAGGGUUGAUAUUAUAAUGUGUUUUGAAUGAGUUGUAAAUAUAUUUGGAAAGUAAGAAUCUUUGUGGAAAUGUCGUAAUGCUAAAGAUUUGAGUAAGGUAUCGAUGAACACGUGUGUAGUAUUGUGUGAAGGCUACUACGUGUAUCGAUAAGUAAUGUUCACAUGGGUAGUACUAAGUGAAGGCUACUAUGUGUACCAAGAAGCUUUGAGCACGUGUGUAGUACUGUGUGAAUGCUACCACGUGUCUCGGUAAACUACGGUCACAUGUGUAGUACUAAGUGAAGGCUACUAUGUGUACCAAGAAGCUUUGAGCACGUGUGUAGUACUGAGUGAAGGCUACUACGUGAGCCGUAAAACUUGAUCACGUGUGUAGUACUAUGUGAAGGCUACUACGUGAAUUGUAAAACUGAUCACGUGUGUAGUACUAUGUGAAGACUACUACGUGUAUCGAAUGAUAAAAAUAAUAUGAGUAGUACUAUGUGAAAAGCUCCGAAUAUUAUUUUAUAUAUACCGUCAUGAUGAUGAAAUUUGAGUAUGUGAUCGGAAUGUAAUAAGUUGUGAAAAUCGAUUGAAGUGAUGAAAUUUGCGUUGUGUUAUAAAAUAAGUGGUUAUAGUGCUAUGUGAAUAAGGAAUGUUGGAAUAGAACAGAUUUGGACAGUGACAGUGAUGUUAGUUUGAAAAAUCACCAAAAACUAUAAAAAUUGAGUUAGAGGUUGAAUAAUAUAUGAGAUUGAAGCUGAAUGAAUCUAUUUUCAUAUGGAAGAAACAAAGCAAGCAAAGGAGUUGUAUGUUUGGAGAUAUUUAAACUUUAUUGAGACAGGGUUGGAUUGAUUUCGAAAUCCCAUGUUUCAACUUUGGAAAAUCACCAAAAAUUGUAAAAAAAUAAUUAUGGCUUGAAAUUUAUAUUCUUGAAUUCCUUAAUGAGUCUAUUUUUAAUAGAAAGAAACAAGAACAUUGUUUAAAUUUUGUACAAAGAGUUAAAUAAAUUUUAGUGAAGAGAGGUCAGAAGUGUCAAAGAGUGAAACAGGGGAACAUUUAGAGAAUAAACUGUACUAAUUGGCUAAAAAAAAAUUCUGAAAAUUUUAUGGUAAGAAUAUAUGUGAGUCUAGUUUCAGAGAAAAUUUACGGAUCUCAAUUCGGAGUUCUGUAUCUCCGGAUAAAAAUAAUUUACCGACUGUGAUGUAGAAAAACAGUUUGUUGGAAGUUGACUAAAUGAUAGAUUUAUGUGUGAUAGAAAUGAUAUAAUAUAUGAUACUAUCUUAGAAAUUUAUUUAUCGAUUACAUACAUACUUACUAAGCUGUAAGCUUACCCCUCUUUAUUUUUCCUUUGUUUUAUAGUGAUAUUAAUCAACUCGGGAAUUGGACGGAGUUAGAACAUCAUCCUCACUAUCAUCACCAACUUUUGGGUAUUUUGCAAUCAAUACUUUUGAAAAAUGGCAUGUAUAGAUGACUUAAUGCAAUGUAGUUUAAACUUAUAUAUAUAUAUAUAUAUAUAUAUAUGUAUAAAAUAUCGUUUGGUUUAAAAUGUCGGUAUCUAUAAUUGAUGAAUUAUUUCCUUAAAUCUUUUGUUCAUAUAGUUUAGGAUGUUAUGGAUGAAUUAAUCAUGUCAGAACAUAUGAUUGUGUUUGGUUGAAAUAUCGAUGUUGCUUGAGAUUGUGUUUCGAAAAUUUGCAGGAGGAAUUGAAUAUUUAUGAAAAGAAACUAUGUCAAAAUUUUUGUAAAAGAAAAAAAAAAUUUGAUCGCUUGAUAACACUUCUCGCCUUGUUUCGACGAUGAAUACGGGUAAGAGGUGUUGCAAUAAACUUAUCUAAAUAAUUGUUAUAAAAAUUAAAUAUAUUACAAAUUAAUAUUUAUAUAAUGAAUACAUGUAAAUUUAUUAUCAUAAAUAUAUUAUUCAUUGAAUAUUAUUAUACGUGAUUUUAUAUAUUUAUUUUUUAUUCACUGAAUAAUAUAUUUUUAUUUUAUGUAAUUAAUACAAAUAUAAUAUAUUCAAAUUGUGGUACAUAAUUAAAAUAGUGUAACAAUAAAAAAUUCAAACAUAAAAGUUUGAAAGUAAAUAAUAAUGAAAUAAAUUUUUUAGUGAUUUUAACUACUAAUUUAAUAAAAAAAUUAAAACAUACUAUUCUUAUGUAUAAUUUAUAAUUUAAUAUAAAAUAUAAUUUUAAUUAUUUUUAAUAUAAACAUAGUUUUGACAUUUUUAAUUAUUAAUUAAAAUAUUUUAUCAUAAUAUAUAAAUUAAUAUAUAUAAUAUAAAAAUCUAUAAAAGAAUUCCAAAUUUCAAUCAUUAUAUUAUAAAUUUUAUAUCUAAAAAUCCUGAAUUAAAUUAAAUUAAUUCAAUUGAAUUGGACAAACAAACUCGACCCAAAAUCAUUUGAUAUGAUUGGUUGGAUUACCAAUCGAUUUUAAAAACCUUGACCAGGACAACAUCAAUAUGUGAAUUUGUUUAAUAUUGUUUAUUUAAUAAGUCUAAAUUUUGAAGCAUCUAAAAUGUUAAUAAAAUCUUAUUUCUAAUUAUUUUCAUACAUUGAAUAUGUCAUUUCACUUUGUUAGAACUUGUUGAAAAGAAUAUUGUAUGCUUCAAUAGAAGUCACAAUUUAUCUUUGAUCAUGAUUGUUCGCAACUGAGCUACUUAGUAAAUUAAAAAUCAGACCUCGACUAUGUACUGUAAGUGCAUUUUCCUACAAACUUUACCCUAUGAUUCAUUAGCCAAAGGUAUUCAUCCCAUCCCCCAAAGUCAUGAGAUAGAUUUGUAAGCUUUGUUUAUGUUAUAGUUAAGGUGGAUGUGUACGCUAGUGUGUGAGUUCUAAAUUAUAUUGUACAAAAAACAACCUAAAAAGAAGACAAAAGAAGACAUUGGAUAUAGGUAUAGCUGUUUUGUAACAACCUAAAAAGGGUCGUAAUUGCUGCAGGGCUCCCGCAUUCUCGUAUCCUCAAUAUUUGAUAAUCGAAUGGAGCUCAGCUAAGCAUUCAACCAAUCAUAAGAUGAAGAUGUGGGAUUCAUUACUCAAUCUAGCAAUGUCUUCAAUUUUGUACAACUCAAUCUUCAAAUUGCUUAAUGGUUCUUGCGUGAAACCCUUCCAUUAAAUGAUAGUAGAUCUACAUAAUGUACUCAAAAUUGCUUGAUAAUUAGUUGUGCUUGUGUUGGAACCUUAUUUGAAACAUCAAAAGAGAAAAAUAUGUUUUGUCUUGAGUGGACACAUAUAUAAAUAAAACUAAAGAACACAACUAAGAUAUUUACGCAGCUUGAAACUUGUCCUACGUUUGCAGCGCCUUGUUCAGAGAUAAAUCCACUAUAUAUUUUCUAGUACAAAGAAAUGAUUUAUGCCCAACUCUCAAACAUUUGGUGUCACCUCACCUUUGUACAAUGAAGUAAACUCUCGCCCAAUUCACUUUAGCUAUACAAUUGAAAAUCAACACUCAAAAGGUGUAUAACAAUGACACUCAAUAAUAAUUCCUCGCUAUGAGCGCAUGUACUCCUUUAAAUCCACACAUCAUCCACUAAACAAAUCAUCUAUAUAUAAGCUCCAAAAUGCACCAAGCUUUACAUAAGCUCCAUGUAAAGUGGAAUAACAAAUUUUCAAAUGCAAUAUCACUGGACCUAUGUAGAAACACUUACUGUUACUAAACGCUACUGUAUAUCAUGUGCAUAAAUGGUGGCUCACAGCAAACCCAUUGUCCAUGCUUUUUCAGUGCGUUCAAAGUUUAUACAUUCUGUCAAUUUAGUUUUGAUUUAAUAAAUUUAGCCUACAAUAUUUACACAUUUUGUCAAUUUGAUUCUAGUUUAACAAAAUUAGAUUGCAACAUUUACACAUUAUGUAUGAGCUCGAUUUGUUAUUAUACCAAUCAAAAUUAUAUACGAGUGAUAAAAAAUAUUAACAUUGUGGUUAAUUGUCCUUAGUUCACUUCCGAAAUUGAUAGGGAUUAACUUACUUAUUUUAUUUUUAGGGGGGCCAAUUUGCAUAAUAAUGAAUUUGAGAGGAACAAAAGGUGUGUUUUUGCCCAUUUUUAUCCUCACCUCACUACUACAAUUGUUAUUGAAUCCAAACAGGUAUCCAACAAUAAUUUCAAUCACAUCACUAUGGUAUUCAAGCUCACUAUUACAACAAUUAAUCUCACCACCGCUGUUAUUUUUAAUUUCACUAGAGUUGAUGGAAUUGUCCAUCCAAUGAAAGUCAUAGACCUAUCUAAACACAAAUACAAAGAUAAAAACUUAUUUAGAUAUAAAUUGAAAAAUAAUUUUUAUUAUUUGACACAAUUAAAAUGUAAUUACUUGCUUGAUUGAUACAUUUGCUCAAAGGUAAUGUAGCCCCUUCCAUUUUAUUAUUUGCUUAAUUUUUUUUGUAUGUGAUAUUUUGAUCUGUUCAUAAAUGGAAUGUUUCAUGGUGGCUAAGUUUCUUAGGGGAUAAAUUAUGAGUAGCAUUAUUUGUUUGUGCAGUGAAAUUGUGAUGUCUAUAUUUUAAUCUAUUUCUGUAUUUGAUGAUGUAGUGGAGUUUUAAUAUAAUUGUAAUUGAUGGUUUGUUAGUUUUAUGUACCAUAAAUGCUAUAGUAAGAGAGUUUAAAGCCGAACAUUUAAUGUCGUGCUCUAUAUGAAGAAAGGUUGAUGAGUGUUAGUUCUUUUGAUGUUUUGCCUUUGAUGGAUGUUUGAAAAAUGAUUCAGUUGAUAUCCAUAAUGUCUACCACUAUAGUUUCCCCCUUAUGUAGAAUAUGACUGCUAGUAUGUCAGGCAAUAUUAUGUUCGUAUAUUAUGUUCUUUUUCUUAUUGUCUUCAACACGAUAACAAGUGAAUUACUAGUUACUUUACUUGAUUUUGUCAUGCCAUUUUUCUCUUUGAGUUUUGGCCUUUCUGAAUUAACUUUUGAAUCACGUAGUGAAGCAUUUCUGAUGGUUCUUAUGACUAACAGUAAGUUCUCUUAUACAAGCUCCCCUACAUAUGCAUUUCUUAAACUUAUGCUCUUUUCUUCAUUUCAGUUGGUUGUUAAUCUUGAUAUAACCAUGCACAAAUACUAAUACUAAGGGACCUUGUAAUUUUGCCUGCCAUUGGAACUACUCUGAAAUAUUGCUGAUUUUUCUCAGCAAUUAAAGAGGAAGAGCGCAGCAGACAAAAAUGAAGUUUUGUCUAGCCAACAUAAUACAAGAUGUGCUAUUCAACUUGUAGUUUGAUGUGUGCCAACAUAAGCAUCAACACACAAGUCAUACGUAUAUACAGCCAGGAAACCAACAUCUUUUGGAAGAGUCCUAAUCCAAGCAUCAUAAUUGAACAUAGUCUUGGAAUACUGUCUAAAAAAAUGGUUGUCUCAUAAUCAAUUGUGCAUCCCUGCAUUUGAAUGCUGUUUCAAACACUAAAAAAACAUAAAUGUGUUUUUUUCUGAGUUGACACUUAUUAUGCAACAAGGAAAACAAAGAGCACAAUUAAGAUGUUUACACAGUUCAAAACUAGUCCUACAUCUGCGGGGCCUUACCCAAAGAUGAAAACACUAUGAACUUCAUAGUACAAAGAAAUGAUUUAAGCCUAACCUCUCUAACACUUGAUGCAAUCUCAACUUCAACCUCACCACCAAAUAUUCCGAAGCAUCUUCCUUUUUUUCCUGUUUGGACCUUCAAUAACAAAUUUGGCUGGAACUCCAAACAGCUAAAAGAGUGCCCUGCAUCAAUAAAUAUUAUGAAUUUGAAUACCUCCAAAAGCCAGUUACCAUCUAAGAUAGUAAUCAGUUGGCAUAUAUUAAGAGAAAACAUAAAUACAUAUAAAGAUAUGAUAUGUAAGUACUUAAAUGAAGAAAGCAGAGCAUAUAGUACAACCAUUUUGCAGGCUUCAUAGGCCUCUCUCUCCACAUCAAUGAUUUUUUAGAAUUAAAUUAUUAGAAGCAAUCGUCAAGUUAUUAUUAUGAUUUAAAAGUAAAAAGAAAGUAGAUAAAUUAGCACCUCUUUUUAUGCAUAUAAAAUGAUUGAAGUUCACUAAUGCCUUUCUCCAAUGCCUUACUGCACAAAUCAGCAAAAAAUAUUAUGAAAGAUGAUAAGUAAAAAGUAGGAUGAAAACAAAGGGAUUUUAACAAGGAAAUUAACAGUAUCCAACUUCAAUGAAAAAUGGCAUCAGACCCCUCACUUGGAGAUUCAAUAUACCACUCUUAUUUUUCUUCAAAAAAAGAUAAGGUCAUCAUAAUAAAUAAAUAACAAAGACAGACCAACCUGAUACAUCCGAAUGUUGGGGAUGUGAGCAAUCUUUUGCCAAUCAGCGCCAAUGUCCUUCCGAUAUCUUUCCUCCAACUGAGGAAUUUCUCGUAUUUGUAAAUACUCCAAACCGGUUAGGCAACGCAUCUCGUCCGGAAGAGAUGUUAAAUUGGGCAAAUUGACGAGAUAAAGCUCUUGCAGAUUUGUUAGAUGUUGAAGCCACUCCGGAAGAUGCCGACACUUUGGAAUAUUUAGCAGCCGUAGAGAGCGUAGACUUGUAUGAUCUUGGAAUAUUUGGAUGCCAGCUCCAGAUAACUCCAGCUCCUUGCAGUCCUUUACUUCAAACUCUUCAAGGAAAGUGAGAUGUUGGAACACAGGAAAGAGUGACCUCAAUCCAUGGCAUUCACGAAUUUCUAAUGUUUUCAAUUGAACAAGAUGUUGAAGAGAAAUGAGGAGAGACACCAGCUUUGGAAUAUUAUCAAUCUUCAAUUGAGAGAGAUUCUUAAGGGGUUCCCAUUGCAUGCCCUCUAAAUCAACCUCCUUGCAAUCUCUUAUUGUUAAUCUUUUGAGGCUGGUGAGAUGUUCAAACACAGGAAGCAGUGACCUCAAUCGAUUGCAGUUCUGAAUUUUUAAUGUUUCCAAUUGAACAAGAUGUUGAAGAGAAAUGGGGAGAGACACCAGCUUUGGAAUAUUAUCAAUCUUCAAAUGAGAGAGAUUCUUAAGUGGUUCCCAUUGCAUGCCCUCUAAAUCAACCUCCUUGCAAUCUCUUAUUGUUAAUCUUUUGAGGCUGGUGAGAUGUUGCAGGCACUCAUCUAGCAUGUGAGUGUCCAGCCCCUCAAUGUUGUGUACAUGGAAAGAUUUCAAUUUGGAGAGUGGAAGAGAAGAGGUUGAAGUUGAUGGGGCCUUAGCAUUGAUGUUCAUCUUGAUAGUCUGCUUUAACGACCUUGAACUGGUAUUCGACAACAUUAGAUCUUCAUCGAGUGAUGGAUACAGUGGCAUCAAAGUCAAAGGGCAAUUUACAAUCCAUAAAGAGGAAAGACAAGGAAAUGCCAUGGUUGAUGUUCCCAUAACUGUUGUGUCGUCCUCGUUGGAAUCAUCAUCGAUUGGUUUUGUUGUCCUCCACCAACUCUUCAUAUUUGGGCAAUUCUCGAGGUGAAGACGCUUAAGCGAUGGGAAGAAUGAGUUAAUCUCACCACCAACAUUAUUUUUAAUUUUACUAGAAUUGAUCCAAUUAUACAUCCAAAGAAAACCAUAAACUUAUCUAAAUACAAAUAAAACUAUUAAAAAAACUUAUUUAGACAUAAAUUGAAAAAUAAAUUUUAUUAUUUCACACAGUAAAAAUAUAAUUACUUGCUUGAUUUAACCCAUUCAAUUUGGUCAGAUUGAAGGUUAUUCUUUGAUAAGAUAUUAUUAUUAUUAUUUGCUUUGGGCAAACUUAAUACAACUUGAUUUACUCUUUAUUAAUUAAAAGCAUUUUAUUUAUAUUUAAUUAUAAAAAUGUGUAUAUAUUAUUAAAAUAUUAUUUUUUAAUAUUAAAUGAAUAGUGAAAUAAGGUCAACUUAUAAGGGUUAAAGUAUUUAGGAAGUCCCUAUAUUAUAGACUGUAUCAAGUUAGUCUCUCAAUUUAAAAAGAAUCAAAUUAUAUCAAAUUGUAACAGAGUUAACAAUUUUCAAUACAUUUUUUAUGCAAUAAAUGUUAACUUUGUUGUAAUUUGGUUUUAUUUGAUUCUUUUUAAUAGUAUAGAGACUAAAUUGACCAUUUAAUAAUAAAGGGACUAAUUUGAUGUAGUCCCUAUAAUAGAGGUACUUUCACCCUUAUAUAUGUGCUUGAAUCUUAUUUUGGAUGAAAUUGAACAAAUGAAAAAGAUAAGAGUUGAAAAAGGUAAAAAUAAAUGAAAUUAGCACAUUAAAUUGUAAUUAUAUACAAAAGAUUCUUAGGUAUGAGUAGGAAAAUGGAUGCCAAACAUAUCGUAAGAUAAGAUGAAGCUUCAAUUUUGGUUUGCUGACAAUCUUCUUUUUUGGAAGUCAUAUCAAUUACGACUGUUUGAAUUUUUAACAUCUAGAGAUGAUUGUCAAAAUAUUAUACUAACAAAUUAGCCAUAAUCACUUAUUUAGCUCUCCAACUUUACAAUAAAAAUCAUUUUAGCUCUUCAAUUAAAUUUUUGUCUCUUUUAGUCCUUAACCUUGCAUUAAUGUUUAUCUAUUUUAGAGUGAUCUGAUAAAUAAUGCAAGUUUAAGGACUAAAUCGAUUUUUCAUAAAGUUAAAUAUAAUAGAGAAUUUAAAAACAAAUGAAAAUAUUUAUAUUUUAUUUUAUAUUUGUUUAAGUUCGGCCUGGUCCAAAAUAUAAACUUAAAAAAUCUGUUUAAAUUUGUAAACAGCUAACUCAAACUCAUUUUAAAUCCACUCGUUCUAUUUUUUUAAAAAAAUUAAAAUGUAUUUAUAUUAUUUUUAACUUAAUAUUUAAUAAUUUUAUAUUUUUAUUAAAAUUUUAUAUAUAGUCAUCUUAAUAUUAAUAAUUUUAUUUUUAAUAGUUUUAUUAAAAUUAAAACCUUGACCAGGACAACAUCAGUAUGUGAAUUUAGUUUCGUAUUUAUUUAAUUUGGUUAGCACAUAUUAAUAGUUUUCAUAGUCUCUUUAGUUUUUGUUUUUUUGGGAUUGUGUAAAAUUUAAAAUUUUAGAUAUUUUUAUGUUCAUAUUUUCUUUUAUAAAUAUAUAUAUUGUAAGCUCUCACUAAUUUUUUCAAGCUUUUAGGAGUUCCUUCUAUUGAAGCAAUAUCAUGAUCAAAUCUAUAAUCAGUAUAUAUGAGAAAGAAAAAAAAUAUAAAAUAAAAUAAAUUAAAAAUUAAAAAUAGACUUGGACACUUAUGGAUGUUAAAUUUAUAAUAAGUUCAAGUAAAAUGGCUAAAAUAAUCAAACUACCGUCUAACUCAUGCUAUGAAAACAUAUAAUCACAGUUAAAAAAAUAUUGUAUAUUUUGAUGAAAGUCACAAUUUAUCUUUGGUCAUGCUUGUUCGCAACUAAACCGCUAUAAUGUAACUACAUGUUCUUACAAAUCUCGCGCUAGUCGACUUUGCCCUAUGAUCCAUUAGUCAAAGGUAUUUAUCCGAUUGAUUUGUCAGUUUUACCUUUUUUAUACUUUUAAGUAAAUGUGUACGAAGUGUGUGAGUUCCAAGUUAUACUGUAACAAAAAUUGAAAAUACCUGACAAGACCAAAAUGAAACAAUUAAUACCCAAAAUUUUAUUCUUCAAUAUAGAAACUAAUGCACAACGAAAAUAAAGUUAGUAAAUUAGUAGGAGAUAAAAGAAGGGUAUAGAUGUUUUGUAAGAAGCUAAAAAGGGUUGUAAUUGUUGCAGGGCAUCCAUAUUGUCAUAUCCUCAACACUUGGUAAUUGAAUGGAGCUAAGCUAAGCAUUCAUUACUCUUGGAAUUGCUCAAUGGGUGUUGCGUGAGGCCCUUUCAUUAAAUCAUAGUCCACAUAAUGUACACAAAAUGGCUUGAUGGAGGGGCGAGAUACAACUAAAAAUAUGUCAGGGGAUAAAGCUAAUAAUUUAAGAAUUUUAUUUAACAAUUAAUGAAUCAAACGAUAUCAUAUUAUUAUAUUUUUAAUGAAUAAAUAAUUUAUUGUUUUAAUAAAGUGAUAUUAUGUGUGUAUAAUAUAAUUAUAUGAUACAUCAAAUAUAAAUCAUUAAUUUAUAUACUUAAAAGUGUGUUUUGUUAAUCUAAUGUGUUUAAAAAAGAAAGAAGAAAUAAUCCUCUUAAAUUUUAUAAUCUCGUCGUGUUUUUAAUAUGUUAGAAUCAAGUUACCAAUAUGAUGAGUACACAAGUAUUUACAAUUUAAUCAUGUCAAAUGAGAACAAAAUUUAAAACUUAAAUUGACAGCUACAAAUGAAAUAAUUUUAUUGAUAUAAUAUAAUACUUUCAAAUUUUAAUUAAAAUAUUUUAGAAUUAUAAAUUAAUUUUUAAAAAUUAAUAAUAAAUUGAGAAUAUUUAAUACAAAUAACUUCGUAUAUGAAUAUAAAUAGUUAUAACACAUUUAUUAUUAAAUGAAAAUAAUGUUGAGAAUCAAGUUACCAAUAUGAUGAGUACACAAGUAUUUACAAUUUAAUCCAUGUCAAAUGAGAACAAAAAUUAAAACUUAAAUUGACAGCUACAAAAAUGAAAUAAUUUUAUUGAUAUAAUAUUAAUACUUUCAAAUUUUAAUUAAAAUAUUUUAGAAUUUAUAAAUUAAUUUUUAAAAAAUUAAUUAAUAAAUUGAGAAUAUUUAAUACAAAUAACUUCGUAUAUGAAUAUAAAUAGUUAUAACACAUUUAUUAUUAAAUGAAAAUAAUGUUGUUUGGAGUUUUCUAUUUUUUCAUUAGCCAACUGAUGAUAAAAAUGAUAAAAUUGAAUCGUUGGGGUGACUACUAAGUAGGUUACCUUUUUUUAGGUUAAAAUAUGCCAUAUGUCCUUGUACUCACCAUAAAUUUGAAAUUUAAUCUCUAUACUUGUAUUUAUAGGAAUUUAAUUCUUUUACUUUUCAGAGUUCAAAUUUUAGGUCCAAUUGUUAAUACUGUUAAUUUUUUUUGUUGAAUUUGUUAGUGUGACUGUUUGAAAUAAAAAAAAACUUACUUGGUAGCCAUGUAACUAAGAAUAUGACAUUUUAAUGAACCUGAAUUUAAUAAAAUAAUUUUAACAGUAUUAACAGUUGGACUUGAAUUUUAAAAUUUAAAAAGUAUAGGGACUAAAUUCUUUAAAAUAAAAAUAUACAAACUAAAUUCUAAACUUACAAAUAUAUAUAUAUAGGACUUGGGGGAUUUUAAUUUUGUUAUGGUAAAUAAGGGGAAAUAGAGAAAAAAAAAAAGGCAAUUAAUAUGUGAACAAAAUCUACAUGUUUGCAAUUUCUAGAUAAUUUUGUGAUUAAUAGAAAUUAUUUUUCGAUUCAUUAAGGUUAAAAUUUUUUCAGAAUUUUUAUAGCAGAAUUUAAACCUUAUUUCUUCAAUUCUUGCAUCUUCGAUUAAGGUCCACUUAGCAAUACAAUUUUAGAGAUUAAAAAAGUUACAUUUCCAUAUAAUGUUUCUUGAGAAAUUUUUUUUCUUUUUCAAAGUUUCAUUAAUAUACAUGCAUUGUACGUGAUUUAUAUAUUUAUUUUUAUUCACUAAAUAAUAUAUUUUUAUUUGAUGUAAUUAAUGCAAAAAUAAUAUUAUUCAAAUUGUGGUACAUAAUUAAAAUAGUGCAACAAUAACAAAUUCAAACAUAAAAGUUUGAAAGUAAAUAAUAAUGAAAUAAAUUUUUUAGUUAUUUUAACUACUAAUUUAAUAAAAAAAUUUAAAACAUACAAUUCUUCUGUAUAUUUUAUAAUUUUAUAAUUUUAAUUUUUUUAAUAUAAACGUAGUUUUGAUAUUUUUAAUUAUUAUUUAAAAUUUUUUAUUUUAAAUAUAUUCUUAAUUAUUUAUUUUACACAUACAUACAUUUUAACUUAAUGUUCUUAAUAGUAAUUUUCUAUUUUUAUUCCAUUGCUACAUUUGCAUUUGAAUUUAAAUACAUAUUUCACAAUUAACAUUAAUCUCACCGCUACAAUAUUCAAACUCACUAAAUUACUUAUUUAACACUAUUAUAAAAAUAUAUAUAAAUAUUACUAAAUUAUCAAUUUUUAAUAUUAAAAGAACAAUGAAAUAGGGUCAGCGUGAAGAAAACUUAAAAAAAAAUUUGUACCCUAACCAAAUUAUAGACAAGUCUAUUGAUUAAUUUUUAAAAAAUAAUAUUUUAGCUUAUAUAAGAGUUAAAAUAUUUGGAAAGUUUAAAAUUAGUCUCUCUAUUAUUAAAUGGACCAAUUUUAUCACAGUACUAUUAAAAAGAACUAAAUAAGGUUAAAUUGUAACAGAUUUAACAUUAAUAGAAUUAACAAAUUUCAAUAUAUUUUUUAUAAAAUAAAUGUUGACUUUGUUAUAAUUUAACUUUAUUUGUAUGCAGUCCCUAUAGUACCGGUACUUUAACCCUUAUAUAUAUGUUUGAAGUUUAUUUUAGGAUGAAAUUGGAAAAUUGAAAAAAGUAAGAGUUCAAAAAGUAAAAACAAACGAAAUUAGCACAUUAACUUACAAAAUAUAUUUUUUAUAAAAUAAAUGUGUUUGGAACAUUAAAAAUGUGUUUUUUUUCCUGAGUUGGUACAUAUUAUUUCAAUUUUGAUGAGAAUUGUACUCUCACUUAACGCUUCAUGUCAUUCGCUUUUUCUUUUCUUUCCCUUUUUUUUUUUUUGUGUGAGAUCUUUUGAUCUGUUCUCAAAUAGAGCUUUUCAUGGUGGCUAAGUUUCUUACGGGAUAAAUUAUGAGUAGCAUUAUUUGUUUCUGCAUUGAAAUUGUGAUGUCUGUAUUUUAAUCUGUGAGGUAUUUCCGUUUGUGAUGAUGUAUUUGAUGAUAUAGUGGAAUUUUGGUAGAUUAAAGUGCUCGUUUGCUGUACUAAGUUGAAAUUGAAUGAAUGCUGGCCUCAUCCAAUGUCCAAAACUUGAUGACUUCAACAUUUUGAUGCCUUAAUUUGAGAAGACUAAGUUAGAGUACUAUAAAACUUUCUAAGAAUGCUGAUGAGGCAUAGAUCUAGUGAUAUAAUAUAAUUGCAAUUGAUAGUAUGGAGAAACCUAAGUUUUAGUACCAUCAAAUAAAAUUGCUAUUGCUAGUAUGUUUGUUUUAUGUAAUAUAAAGCCAUAGUAAGAGAGGAAGGCUAUGUUAUGCUAUUCCAUUCUCGGUUUAAAGCUGAACAUUUAAUGCCGUGCUCUAUAUGAAGAAAGGUUGAUGGGUGUUAGUUCUUUUGAUGUUUUGUCUUUGAUGGAUGUUUGAAAAAUGAUUCAGUUGAUAUUCAUAAUGUCUAUCCCUACAGUUUCCCCCUUAUGUAUAAUGACUGCUAGUUUGUCGGUCUUCGUAUAUUAUAUUCCUUUUGUGUGAAAUUCCAAACUGCGUAAACAUCUUAAUUGUGUUCUUUAUUUUCCUUGUUGCAUAAUAUGUACCAACUCAGGAAAACACACAUUUUUAAUGUUCCAAACAUCAAUGCUUGAGCUAAGGAAAUCAAAGUCUCCUAGGAGGAUUCUAGCCCAUCAAUUCCCUCUAUAUAUCAACAAUGAACCUGCAAACUGUAAAUAUCAAUAUACAGUAUGAUAAAAUUGAUCUCGUAUAGACCGAGCAGUGUCCAAAUGUAGAAGAAGCACUUACUGUUACUAAAAACAUAACUCCAUAUUUUGUGCACAAAUGGUGGCCAAACACAUAUCCGUUGUCUAUGCUUUUUGAUUCCAAGUUUAAGAAAGGGCCAAACAUUGGGCGUCCUCAUCCUCAUCUGUAAUAGUAACAAAUUCACAUUCCCAUUCCAAGUUUAAGGAAAUGCCAUGGUAACAAAUUCACAUAACUGUUGUGUCGUCCUCGUUGGAAUCAUCAUCGAUUGGCUUUGUCGUCCUCCACCAACUCUUCAUAUUUGGGCAAUCCCGUAGGCAAAGAUGCUUAAGUGAUGGGAAGAAUGAUUGUGGUUCUCCUUGACUUCCUUUUGGGCUAUUAUCAUCCAUGUACUCCAGCUUAGUACAAUCAUAUAUCUCCAGCCCUUUAAGACAAGGAAAUUGCGCAAAGGACGGGAUUUGUUUGAAAUUACUACCACUUAUGUCAAUUGUGACGAGAUUUUUGAGCAAAGGAAGCCAACUUGGAAACUUGCCAUCACCCCUCCAUCCUGCAAUACAGAGCUCCUUGAGAUUAGGAUGGGGCUGGAGGUCUUCAAGUGACUUCUCAUCGUCAUCAUCAAAACGAAGGCUCCAUUCUAAAAGCAACGAUCUCAAAUGUUGCUUCUCUUUCAAAUUAGCAGCCUUAAACUUCUCUUUUGCAUUUUUUACGAAUCCCAAAUUUGUUAUUUGUAGACGUCCCCUUAAGUUGUUAAGCAGUCUCAAUUCACUUAGAUCUGCACCGCCAUGGGACCCAUCUUUAUCCACUACAAACAUGCUUAACGUCUCAAGUGAAGUCAGCUUCCCUAUUCCACGUGGCAUAUGAGUUAAACUAAAACACUACGACACCCAAUAUGGGUAAGAUUCACCAAUUCUUCAAUCUUCUUUGGCAAUUCUUUAAGCCCAAAACAGCAGUCAAGUUUCAGCGCUAGCAAAUUCUGAAUCUUGCAAGUACUCUUUGGGAGAAUCUUAAUAUUGUAAUUGGAAGAAAGGUCAAGGUACCUCAAAUGUUUCAACUUACAAAUGGAGGGUGAAAUCUUUUGAAUACCUAUAGAAUAUAAUUUCAAUACACGCAAGCAUCUACAAUUUGCAAUUAUCAAAUCCCAACUUUCUUCACUAAAAUCUUGAUAUAUGCUGUUUGGAAAGUGUAACAAGGUUCGCAACUUCUUUCCCUUAAACAAAGGAAUUAAUGAAGGAAUUAAUAAAGGAUUAAUUGAUAUGUGGCGACAUUUUUCACCAACAUCACCUGCAAUUUUAUUUGAAUCUACAAUACUACUCUCCAUCCCUGCUACUGAUUCAGCUAGAUCUUGCAUUAAAUCAUGCAUUUUACAUCUCAUAUCCCCAAUUCCAUAUUCUUCUACCUCUUGAAAGAAACUCCUGUCAACUAAAUCUUUAAAAUACCCAAACCCGAUCUCCUCCAGAGAUUGACUUUGAUUCAAUUGCUUUAUGAAACCCUGUGCAAUCCAAAAUUGAACAAGCGCUUGCACUUGAAUUGUGUAAUCUGUUGGAUACAGUCGGCAAUAAGCAAAGCAAUGCUUCAAAUGAGACGGGAGAUGAUCAUAACUCAAUUUCAGUAUAGGUAGAAUUUCUCCUUCAAUUUGUGAAAUUUUAGCAAGUUCAUUUUCUUUGAAAGAAUGCCACUCAUUUGCAGUUUUCUUCUAAGAUAAUGUACCAGCUAUCGUCCUUAUGGCUAAGAGAACCCCACCACACCUUUCCGAAAUCUGUCUCCCUACUUCCACAAAGGCUGAAUUUGUUGAGUCUGCAUAUCCUUGCUCAAAUGCUAUCUUUUUGAACAAAGACCAAGCAUCAUCAUCAGACAAGCCUUUCAAUUUCAAAACAUGGGAUUGACAUUUAUUAGUUAUCUCCGCUACCCUUAGAGAUCGAGUAGUUACUAUUAUCCUACUCCCUUUAGCCCCACCCAUCAAUAACUUCUUUAGCCUAGAUGUUGAAGUCAGCUCCCAUAUAGCAGCAAAGGUGGCCAUGCAAGGAACGUGCUUCAGCAGCAAAUUGAUGCAGCAAGCUGAAGCUAUUCAUUUGGUUUCCUUAAUUGAAUGUUUUGUAUUUAGUUAGGAUCAAACUUAGUUGGUAGCUGCAUUUUGAUGUAAUUAGGUGCUGAAUGACAAGCUUAGGUAGAAGCUUUUUUGUUUUUCAAUCAAGUUUACCAAGUUACUAGGCAUUUUAGUGGUGUUAGGUAUGUUAGUAGGUGAUUACUUGUUUGUUUUACUUAUUGACUGAUAUAUGUAAUGGCUUAAUGCCUUGUUCAUGUGUUAAUGAAAAAUAUCAGCUCAUUUUCAUUCAAUCUCUUUCUCUCUUUUCUGUUUUCACUUGCUAGCUUCAUCUUUCUAUUUUUUCUGCUUCCGAGUUUGCUUCUUCACCAAGCCUCGAGCCUUACUACUCAAGCAAGACUAGAAACAGCUUGCUGCUGCCUCUUGCACCAACAAUUGGUAUCGAGAGCUCUUGUCUUAGUGGACCUGUUGCUUCAAAACAAAGAACUUGAUGGCUUCUUCAGGAUUUUCACCAGCAGCCCCACCAGUCUUCAAUGGAGAAGGCUUUCACAUAUGGCUGGUCAAGAUGAAGACUUACCUACAGGCUUUUGAUCUGUGGGAAGUUGUCAACACAGAUACUGAGCCAGCACCACUGAGGGCUAAUCCCACAGUAGCUCAGAUUAGGCAACAUGCUGAUGAGAGGACCAAAAGGCACAAAGCCAUGUCCUGCAUCCAGAACUGUGUGUCAGAUGUCAUCUUCACCAGAAUCAUGGCCUGUGAGACUCCAAAACAGGCCUGGGAUAAGCUUAAGGAGGAGUUUCAAGGCACUGAGAGAACAAGGCAACAGCAGCUGCUAAACUUGAGAAGGGAUUUCGAGAAUUUGAAGAUGAAGGAAGAAGAAACAGUGAAGCAGUACUCAGAUAGAAUUAUGGCAGUGGUUAACAGCAUAAGGCUCCUAGGUGAGCACUUUGAUGAGGCAAGAAUUGUGGAGAAAGUCCUCUCCACUUUGCCUGAGAGAUAUGAGGCCAAGAUAUCCUCUCUAGAGGACUCAAGAGAUCUUGCUAGCAUCUCUUUGACUGAGCUAAUCAACACCUUUUAUGCUCAGGAACAAAGAAGAGCUAGCAGAGCUGAAGAUCACCAAGAAGGUGCAUUUCAAGCCAAGGCCAGAGAAACCUCGAGCACUAAUGCUCAAAGAGGCAAAAGGCCUUGGAAAAACAGGCCUAAGCCUGAUGCUGCAAGGAGCAAUGACCAGCCCUGCAAAUAUUGCAAGAAGCCUGGCCAUCCAGAAGACAGAUGCUGGUUUAGGCCAGAUGCAGUAUGCCAACACUGCAAGAAGAAGGGCCAUGUUGAAAGGGUCUGCAAAAACAGAAGUAAGCCAAGGCAGAAUCAAUUUCAGCAGUCAAAGGUUGAAGCUCGAGUAGCUGAGGACAGUAGUGACCAAGAAGAACAGGUCUUUGCUGUUUCCUGUGUAGCUUCUGAGAAGAAAUGCUCUAAAGGCUGGCUGCUGGACAGUGGUUGCACUAACCACAUGUCACCAGAUGCCUCCUUGUUUAAAACCUUGGACAGAAGUUAUAAAACCAAGGUCAAGGUUGGACAUGGUCAGUUUAUAAGGGCUGAAGGAAGAGGAGAAGUGCUGAUAUCUACUCCCACAGGCAACAAGAUCAUUCCAAAUGUGCUGUUGGUACCACAGAUUGACAGAAACCUUCUCAGCAUAGCUCAACUGCUCGAGAAAGGUUAUUCUGUUGUGUUCAAGGAUAAACAAUGCCAUAUUACUGAUCCAAGUGGAUCAAGCCUUAUGACAGUCACAAUGACUGAUAAAUGCUUUGAGGUUCACUGGGCAAAUGACUCAAACUCAGCAUACACAGCCUCUGUUGAAGACUCCAAGCUUUGGCAUCAAAGGCUUGGACAUGCCAACUUCAGAUCAAUGGCUCGAUUGGCCAAAGAGGGCAUGGCAGAGAACUUCACCAGCUCAGUGGAGCAUGAUGAUGUGUGUGAAGUCUGCCAAAUGGGGAAACAGGCAAGACUGCCAUUUCCUACAAAUUCAGCUUGGAGAGCUACUGAAAGACUACAGCUGGUGCACUCUGAUGUAUGUGGCCCGAUGAGGACUGAAUCACUCAGCAAAAACAGGUAUCUCAUCCUCUUUAUUGAUGAUCUUACAAGGUUUUGCUGGAUUUUCUUUUUAAAACACAAGUCUGAGGUAGCUCAAGUGUUUGUGAAGUUUAAAAAUGCUGUAGAAACAGAAACAGGUUGCAAGCUGAAAUCGAUAAGGACAGACAAUGGCACUGAGUACACUUCAGCUCAGUUUCAAGCCAUUUGCAAUGAUGCUGGUAUCAAACAUCAGCUUACAAAUGUCUACACACCUCAGCAGAAUGGGGUAGCUGAAAGAAAGAAUAGAAGUCUGAUGGAUAUGGCCAGAUGUCUGCUGUUUGAGAAGAAACUGCCCAAGACCAUGUGGGCUGAGGCAGUAAACACUGCUGUUUACCUUCAGAACAGGCUUCCCACUAAAGCUCUUGCAUCCGAGACACCUUUUGAGGCUUGGUUUGGUUUCAAGCCUUCCUUGGCACACCUGAAGGUGUUUGGUUGCCUGUGUUAUGCACAAAUACCAGCAGCAAAGAGAGACAAGCUCUCUAAAAGGGCUCAACCAGGUGUUCUAGUAGGCUACAGCUCAGUCAAAAAGGGCUACAGGGUUCUGGAUCCCUUGACAAACAAAGUCCAAGUGAGCAGAGAUGUCAUCUUUGAUGAAAAAGCCUGCUGGAAUUGGGAGAAAAAUGAGCCAGAAGCAAUUUCAGAAGACCUAGUGACUAAUCAAGCUGAACUUGAGCAGCUAGAACCUGAAAUGGAUGUUGAUGAUGUGCCUGUGAGAGGCACAAGGCCCCUAGAAGAUAUUUAUGAAAGGGCACAGGUUGCAUUAGCAGAACCUAGCAGUUUUGAAGAGGCUGAGGCAGAUGAAGGUUGGAAACAAGCUAUGGUUGAUGAAAUCAACAUGAUUGUAAAGAAUCAGACAUGGGAGUUGGUUGAAAAGCCUGCCAACAGAAAGACUAUCAGUGUAAAAUGGGUCUAUCGAGUGAAGCACAAUGCAGAUGGAAGCUUAAACAAGCUAAAGGCCAGGCUAGUUGUAAAGGGCUUCAGUCAAAGGUAUGGUCUGGACUACAUGGAAACAUUUGCUCCAGUAGCCAGACUCGAUACAAUCAGAUUGCUGAUUGCAGUUGCUGCUCAGAACCAGUGGACAAUCCACCAAAUGGAUGUCAAGUCUGCAUUCCUCAAUGGAUUUCUAGAAGAAGAGAUAUACAUCGAGCAACCCCCAGGUUUUAUAAUGCCUGGUAAGGAACAAUUGGUGUAUAGGCUAAGAAAGGCCUUGUAUGGCCUAAAACAGGCCCCUCGAGCCUGGUAUGCUCGAAUUGACUCAUAUUUGGUCAGUUUGGGAUUUGAAAGGAGUGCUAGUGAGCCAACACUCUAUGUUAAGAAGAAUGGAGCUGAAACACAGCUUAUUGUGUCACUAUAUGUUGAUGAUCUUCUCGUGACUGGAGGAGACAAGCUUAUGAUGGUUGAUUUCAAAGCAAGAAUGAAGAAAAUGUUUGAGAUGUCAGACCUGGGAUUGAUGACAUAUUUCCUAGGAAUGGAAGUCAAUCAAAUAGAAGGAGGAAUCUUCUUGAAACAAAAGACAUUUGCCUUGAAAGUGCUGGCUAAAUUCUCAAUGGAGAAUUGUAAACCAGUGAGCACACCAAUGGCUAUUGGCAUAAAGCUAUCGAGCCAGGAGGAACAUGAAUCUGUCUGUGAAACAGAUUACAGAAGCCUUGUUGGGUGUUUAUUGUAUUUGACAGCAACAAGACCCGACAUUUUGUUUGCUGUAAGCAUGCUAUCAAGGUUCAUGCACUGCUGUAACCAGCAACAUUACAAGGCUGGGAAAAGGGUGCUAAGAUACAUUAAAGGUACCUUAAACCAUGGAAUACAGUUUAGAAAGGCUGAAGAGUUGAAACUGAUUGGCUACACUGAUAGCGAUUGGGCUGGUUCAAAGGAUGACAUGAAGAGCACUUCUGGCUAUGCUUUUACACUUGGCUCAGCUAUGAUUUGUUGGAGCUCAAGAAAACAAACAAUGGUGGCUCAAUCGACAGCAGAAGCAGAGUAUGUAGCAGCUGCCAAUGCUGUUAAUCAAGCCAUGUGGCUGAGAAAAAUUUUGAGUGACUUGAAUCUACAGCAGAAUGAAGCAACUGUGAUACAUUGUGACAACAAGUCAGCAGUUGCUAUUGCUAAAAAUCCUGUCUUUCAUGGCAGGACAAAACAUUUCAACAUCAAACUCCAUGUGAUAAGAGAAAUGGAACAAGCUCGAGAAAUUGAGCUAAUCCAUUGCAGUUCUGAAAAUCAGAUUGCCGAUAUCUUCACAAAGCCUAUUGGUGUAUCAAGAUAUCUAAGCCUGAAGAGGAAGCUAGGAGUCUGCUGCAUAGAAGCUGAGGAGGAGUGUUGAAGUCAGCUCCCAUAUAGCAGCAAAGGUGGCCAUGCAAGGAACGUGCUUCAGCAGCAAAUUGAUGCAGCAAGCUGAAGCUAUUCAUUUGGUUUCCUUAAUUGAAUGUUUUGUAUUUAGUUAGGAUCAAACUUAGUUGGUAGCUGCAUUUUGAUGUAAUUAGGUGCUGAAUGACAAGCUUAGGUAGAAGCUUUUUUGUUUUUCAAUCAAGUUUACCAAGUUACUAGGCAUUUUAGUGGUGUUAGGUAUGUUAGUAGGUGAUUACUUGUUUGUUUUACUUAUUGACUGAUAUAUGUAAUGGCUUAAUGCCUUGUUCAUGUGUUAAUGAAAAAUAUCAGCUCAUUUUCAUUCAAUCUCUUUCUCUCUUUUCUGUUUUCACUUGCUAGCUUCAUCUUUCUGUUUUUUCUGCUUCCGAGUUUGCUUCUUCACCAAGCCUCGAGCCUUACUACUCAAGCAAGACUAGAAACAGCUUGCUGCUGCCUCUUGCACCAACACUAGACCACCUUUCUGGGUCCUCAUUCCAAAUGUCAUCCAAAACAAGCAAAUAUUUUUUCCCAUCAAUUUUAUCUCGAAGUUGUUUUUGCAGUUGAUCCAUUUCAAGAUUUUGAUCAGGUGCUUGAUGAGUCACAGAUUUGAUAAUGUUUGCUACAAUAACUUUCACAUCAAAAUCAUCUGAAACACACGCAAACAUCGUUAAGUCAAUUGAAGCUAAUCUCGCCAUAAUGGCCUUCAUUUUCCGACCCAUUUUGAGACCAUAAGCAAAUUGGUUUGAGCUCGAGAAGAAAAGGCGUACCUCUUUCGUCAGCUUGUUCCCACCCAUUAGAUCUUUCCGCAAAGCUUCGGUAGAGAAAUCAUCGAGCAAGUCGUCAGCAUCGUAAAGUACAUCUUUCAGCUUUUCAAGCCAAUCUUUGACGAGAUGGCUGGUCACGGAUCGCUCUUCUGCGUCAAGAAGCACAGCUUUGAUUGUAGAGACGGUGCUUUUGAGGUCGUCAAGGUCAUGUUUUAGAUUCCACCACAGCCCAACUUGAGAGAGAGCACGAGAGCUCAACUUAAUAAUGAGCUCUGCGGCAAUGUCGAAAGCAAUUGCUUCGGCCAUUGUUGGUUCGAACUGAAAUCAAGGCAAAAAGUGUUUGAUUCGUGAGAGAGGACUAAAAUGAGAAUGAUCCCAGCAAGAUGAAACACAGAUGUGGAUCCAUCCACCCAGCAAGUAGUAUAAUUAAAUAAAAAGUAAUGUUGAUUGGUGGGAAAUGGUCCGUCCAUGUUUACUGUUUGACACAAAUUUCUGAAUGGAGACAAAGUUGAGAUGAUGGCACUAGGGGUGCUCUGCACAACGUACAAAUAAUUGAAAUUAAUGAAAAAGGUAUGAAAGAAAAGAGAAAAAGGAGACAAGUCCCAUGGAAUCCAAGGUGUUUUGAUUGAAGUCUUUCUAAACCUUCUUCCCACUUACUUUGUGUAAUUGAGUGAGUCUCAAUACUCGGUUAAAUUCAAUAUUUUAUUUUUGAGUUUAACUUUGGUUGAAUAUAUAAAAUAAAAAUUCAAUAAAACUCAUUCGCCAUUAGAAUCAAAUAUUAUUAAAUUCGAAUCCGAUUAAAUCAAUAAUUUAAACAUAACUUAAUGACUACUAAAUCAAAUUUAAAUCUUUUUUUAAUCGAAUUUAAUUAACUUACAAAUGAUUAUCAUGUCCACCUUUCUCACCCACCUACUUAGCUUUGAUUUUGUCUUUUAAAGUAACUUGGUGUCUAUAAUUAUAUAUUACGACAAUAGUUACUGUUAUAAUUGUUUGUCUAUGCAAUAUAUCAAAGUAAAAUAUAAGAGUUUAACAUUUGUUAACCCUGUUAUAAAAAUUUAAUUUAACUCUUUAAAAAUUAUAAAGAUAUAUUACUAUAAAAAUAUAUAAUUUAAUUCCAACUAAAAUUUUUUUUAGCUUGGCUACUAUUGAAAAAUUAAUUUAGUUUUUGAACACAACAUGUGGAAAGAUAUUGGGUUUAUGUCAGCUCCAUGGGAAUGUAUUUAAUUGGUAUUGAAGGAAAAAUCAUUACUUAUACCAUCAUGAAGAUUGCUUCCACUGCUCAUAUCUAUUUUAUUAUUUUAUUACACAUAAAAUUGUUUUAUUGUGAGUUGGAUGAUUUUGGUUUUUUUUUAAGAUAUUUUAUUUUUAAAUAUAUUUUUAAAUAUUUAUUUUACAUAUACAUGUAUUUUAACUUAAUACAUUUAAUAGUAUUUUUUUAUAAUAAAAAAACCCAAAGGUCGCUACCUCAUUUUAAGUUGCAUCAUAAAUUACAAUGUUAUGAUUAUCGAUCACUAAGAUAAUUCAUCUCAAAAGACAAAUUACUACACUUAGAAAGAGCCCAAUUACAAAGAGAAUCAGCUAAUUUGUUAUAACCACGUUUCACCCAUUUAACCUCGAAAGAAACAAAAGAAUCAAGCAUCUUGUGAGCUCCUUAAUGCAGUGAUCAAGGAUCGUUAUGUCCUCUUUGUGAAAACUAAAGCGGUUGACAAUGCUAGCACAAUCUGUUUCAAAAAUGACAUUAUGUUUAAAGUGUUUAUUAAUUAUUUUGAAAAAUGAAAGUAUAAUAACUUUUUUGGCAUUCCAACUUUAUAAAAGAAUUAUUUUAGCUCUCUAUUUACUUUCAUUUUCUUUUAGUCUUUAAACUUAUAUUUUUUUUUGUCAAACCAUCCAAAAUGGGUGAAAAAGUUAACAUUUGUUAACUUUGUUGACAUGACAUAUAGGUAGAUUACCACGUGUAUGUCACGUUAACAAUUAAUUAUUUUAAAAAAAUAUUUAAAAAUAUUUUUUUGAAUUUUUUUAAAAAAUAAUUAAUUGCUUAUGUGGCAUAUACGUGGCAAUCCGCGUGUAUGUUACAUUAGCAAAAUCAACAUACGUUAAUUUUUCACUCAUUUUGAGGUGAUUUGACAAAAAUUACAAGUUUAAGAACUAAAAGAAACGAAAAGUUAAAUGGAGAGUUGAAAUAACUUUUUCUAUAAAGUUAGAGACCAAAAGAAUCAUUAUUGCAAAAAAAAUAGUUGUUUUUCUUCUCCUUUUUUUUGUAUUUUUAGUGCUAAAAUUCAAGAUGGUGCGGAAUAGUUUUUAAUCUUAUUAUUGUUAUAUAUGUUUUCGACCUCAUUGGAGCUAAUCUCACUGUCUAUAUAAAGAGAGCCUAAAUAUAAUUUGUUCAGCUUCUUUUAAACAAGUUAGUGCUCCUUUGUAUGAUCAUUUACCUCCCAUGAGUAAGGUUGAGUAAAUAAAAUAAAAAAAUACUUGAAAAUUGAUCCAAAUCAAGGUGUUUAGACGGUUUAUGGAAUACAAAUUAAAAAAUCACAAUUAUUCGAAACCGAACCAAAUUCUAUUCUUUAUUUUAAUUUAUAAAUAAAUUUAUUUUUAUAAUAUAAAAAUAAAUAUUUUAUAUUUAAAAAUAGUGAAAAUAAAUAAAUAUAUUUUAAAAAUAUUAUAUAAAAGUAUUUAAUUAUUUUUAUCUACUUAAAAUAAUUUUAAAAAAUAUCUAUGAAAAAAACUUUGAAAAUUUGUCAAAUGAUAUUUAAAAGCCGUAAAAUAAAGUUUAUUUUAUUAAAAUAAUUAUAAAAAUUUAUAAUAACAAAAUCGAACUAAACUAAAUUAUAAUGGACGGAUAAAAAAAUAGAAUUGAAUUAAACUAAUAUCACUUGAUUUUAUUGCACCAAACUGGACAUAAAGGAUCUUCUUAAAAAAUUUAACCUGCAAUGAGAUUGUUUUCCUCACUAUAACCUUCUAGAGGUGUUAUAUAAGUACAUAUCAUAUGAUAAUUAUAAAUUUAAUUAUUUAAUUCUUAUAAAAAUUAAAUAUAUUACAAAUUAAUAUUUAUAUAAUGAUAUAUUAAAUACAUGUAAAUUUAUUAUCAUAAAUAUAUUUUUAAUUAUUAUUUGAUAUAAAUAAUUUUAUUAUAUUUUAUUAUUUUCAUUUAUAUAAAAUAUAGUCCUUGAAUGUUGAAGUCUAAACCCAACCCUUAAACAAAGGAAUUAAAUUUAAAGUUGAGAAAGAUAUGGAUGGUAGUAAUGGGAGCAUAAGCAUGUAGAAGCAAUGCUGGCAUUUCAUCUUAUUAGCAGCUUUGGAAUAGAUUCUUAAGGAUGAGUAGGAAUCUGUAUGCUUUUUUUUUAAUUUUUAUAUUUAAAACAUUAGUUAAUUGCUAAUGUGGCAUCCAUGUGUAUGCCAUGUAAGUUUAAGGACUAAAUUGAUUUUUUCAUAAAGUUAGAAGGUUAAAUAAAUCAUUUGCCAAAAUAUAAUAGAGAACUUAAAAAAAUGAAAAUAUUUAUAUUUUAUUUUAUAUUUGUUUAAGUUUGGCCUGGUCCAAAAUAUAUACUUAAAGUUUGUUCAAAUUUGUAAACCGUUAACUCAAACUCAUUUUAAAUCCACUCAUACUAUUUUUAAAAAAAAAUUAAAUGAAUUUAUAUUAUUUUUAACUUAAUAUUUAAUAAUUUUACAUUUUUAUUAAAAAUUUAUAUAUAGUCAUCUUAAGAUUAUAAUAGUAUUAUAAUUUUUAUUUUUAUUUGUUACAAAUUACAUAACAUAUAAAAUUAACAUAAUAUAAAAUAUUGCUAACUUAAAAAUUGGGUCGGGCCCAACUUAGGCUUUGAAUAUUCAAAUUCAAGCUCGACUCAUAUUUUAAAUGGGCCUAUUUUUUAAAUUUAAUAGUUUUAUCCAAAUCUUCCAAAAUUUCAAAUGAGCCUUUGAGCUUGACAAAGAACAGUAAGUCUCUUUCCCUUUUCUUUCCCUAUUAUUUUGGCUAAACAAUACAGUAAGAUCAGCUGAUGAAGAAUGCAUACAGAUCGACUCUUCAACAAAGAAAAAGAAAGAACAAAUGUGCAUAGAGAGGAGGAUUUCAUGGGAGCACAAUUCCAUGGACAGAUCAGCUGAUGAAGAAUGCAUGUCCUGCUUUUUGGCUCUUCCAUUGAACUCAUGCUGAAAAAGAAGUUGCUUAGUUACGAGGUUACAUUAGAUCAUUUGAAAUUAUGAGAUUAUUAUGAUUUUAAAAAUGUAAAGCAAUUAAGUAAUUACCACCUAUUUGCCUGCAUCUAAAUUCUUAAACAAAUGAGGGUAGAAAGUACGAUCUCUGCUUUUUGUAUUGCAUGCUAUGCUCUGCCGAAGAAUAGAGCCACAAGCUAACAAAAAUGAAGGGUAAAAAGAUUAAUGGAAACCUUGUAGUUUUCAAAGGUGAAUAAAUAAGGACAAUUAAGAUCGGUGUUAACAGUUUUUACUAAUAUUUUGAAAACAUUUGAAAACAUUUUAAAUAAGUUAAUAUAUAUAAUAUAAAAAAUCUAUAAAAAAUUUCAAAAUUCAAUUAUUGUAAUAUAAAACUUUCAUAUCUAAAAACCCUAAAUUAAAUUAAACUAUUUCAAUUGAAUCCAACAAACAAAUUAGACCGAAAACCAAUUAAUAUGAUUGGUUCGGCCACCUAUCUAGUUUUAAAAACCUUAACCAGCACAACAUCAGUAUGUGAAUUUAAUUUCGUAUUUAUUUAAUUUGGUUAGCACAUAUUAAUAGUUUUCAUAUUCUCUUUAGUUUUUGUAUAUUGGGAUUGUGUAAAUUUUAAAAUUUUAGAUAUUUUUAUGUCCAUAUUUUGUUUUAUAAAUAUAUAGGGGUAAGCUCUCACUAAUUUUCUCAAGCUUUUAGGAGUUCCUUCUAUUGAAGCAAUAUCAUGAGCGAAUCUAUAAUCAAUAUAUAUGAGAAAGAAAAAAAAUAUAAAAAAGUAAAAUAAAAAAUGAAAAUAGAUUUGGACACUUAUGGAUGUUAUCAAACUAUUGUCUAACUCGUGUUAUGAAAAAAAAAUCACAAUUAAAAGAAUAUUGUAUGCUUCAAUGAAAGUCACAAUUUAUCUUUGAUCAUGCUUGUUUGCAACUAAGUAGCUAUAAUGUAACUACAUGUUCCUACAAACCUCGCACUAGUCGACUUUGCCCUAUGAUCCAUUAGUCGAAUUUGUGAUGUCUAUAUUUUAAUAUGCGAGGUAUUUAAAGAAAUAGAUACAUCAAUUUAUUUUUGUAGUGGAUAAAUAUAAUUAUUUAUUUACACAAUAUAUAAACAUAAAAUGAUGCCCUAUUAAUAAUUUAUGAAAAUUAGAUCAAAUUAAAAUUUCAUGUAUAAAAUUAUAUGUUAUGCCAAAGUUUAUAUGUAGUUUUGAGAUUUAUCCCAUUUUCCUAUUAACUUAGCCAUUAGCCUGAGCAUUAAAUGUUCGCUCAAAUAUGAUAGGGGACAUACUUAAAACACAUGUGUCCAUGCUAUAUAGGCAACUUUAAUCUAAUUUGUUAAAAGAAGAAGAAGAAGUAAUCCUCUUAAAUUUUAUAAUCUCAGCGUGUUUUUAAUAUGUUAGAAUCAAGUUAUCAAUAUGAUGAGUACACAAGUAUUUACAAUUUAAUCCAUGUCAAAUGAGAACAGAAAUUUAAAAUCUAAAUUGAUAGCUACGAAAAUGAAAUGAUUUUAUUGUUAUAAUAUUAAUACUUUCAAAACUUAAUUAAAAUAUUUUAUAAUUUAUAAAUUAAUUUUAAAAAAAUUAAUUAAUAAAUUGAGAAUAUUUAAUACAAAUAACUUCUUAUAUGAAUAUAAAUAAUUAUAACACAUUUAUUAUUAAAUGAAAAUAAUGUUGUUUGGUUGGAAAUGGUCCCACCAUAUUUUACGUUUGGGGAACAAAGCGACGGUGUUUUGGUUGGAGAAGAAGGAAGUAACGUCGUUAAGUACAUCGUUUUGUUUAUCUUUAUUUUAAAUUUGUUUUCUCGUUUUCUAUUUGACGCCGCUAAUAUUCUUUUUUGAGUAAACUAUAUUAAAAGUCAUUCAACUAGUUAAAAAGUUACAAAAUGAUCACCAAAUUAUUAAUAAUUUCUUUUACCUAAUUAUGAAAAGUUAUAAAAUAAUAAAUUUUUAUUAUUAUUUAGCGCAUACGAGUAUUUGUUAUUUUUUUCUUUGAAUUUUUCAUUUAUUCAUUAAAUGAAUUAAUAAAUUUCUCUUUAAAAAAUUUACUCGGGGCAGAACAUAACAAGAGUCAAAGCUUCAGCUUGUAAUAUUGGCUUGUGCCAUGAUAGGCCUUUAUAAGGUGUUGUUCAACUUAUAAUUUGAUGUGUGCCAACAUAAGCAUCAACACACAAGUCAUGUAUAUACAGCCAAGACAUCGACAUCUUUUGGAAGAGUCCUAGUCCAAGCAUCAUAAUUGAACAUAGCCUUGGAAUACCGUCAAAAACAAUUAUUGUCUCAUAAUCAAUUGUGCAUCCCUGCAUUUGAAUACUAUUUGGAANNNNNNNNNNNNNNNNNNNNNNNNNNNNNNNNNNNNNNNNNNNNNNNNNNNNNNNNNNNNNNNNNNNNNNNNNNNNNNNNNNNNNNNNNNNNNNNNNNNNNNNNNNNNNNNNNNNNNNNNNNNNNNNNNNNNNNNNNNNNNNNNNNNNNNNNNNNNNNNNNNNNNNNNNNNNNNNNNNNNNNNNNNNNNNNNNNNNNNNNNNNNNNNNNNNNNNNNNNNNNNNNNNNNNNNNNNNNNNNNNNNNNNNNNNNNNNNNNNNNNNNNNNNNNNNNNNNNNNNNNNNNNNNNNNNNNNNNNNNNNNNNNNNNNNNNNNNNNNNNNNNNNNNNNNNNNNNNNNNNNNNNNNNNNNNNNNNNNNNNNNNNNNNNNNNNNNNNNNNNNNNNNNNNNNNNNNNNNNNNNNNNNNNNNNNNNNNNNNNNNNNNNNNNNNNNNNNNNNNNNNNNNNNNNNNNNNNNNNNNNNNNNNNNNNNNNNNNNNNNNNNNNNNNNNNNNNNNNNNNGCAGGCCCAUAUUUCUAAUUUUUUAUUUUUUAACUUUUUUGUACUAUUUUGAUAAAUAAAAAAAGUAAACUAUUUUGAUAUUUUUUUAAUUUUUUUGUAUUAUUUUAGUAAAAAUCCCGUGUUAUUCAGCUUGUAAUUUGAUUGUGCCAACAUAAGCAUCAACACACAAGUCAUGUAUAUACAGCCAGGACAUCGACAUCUUUUGGAAGAGUCCUAAUCCAAGCAUCAUAAUUGAACAUAGCCUUGGAAUACAGUCAAAAACAAUUAUUGUCUCAUAAUCGAUUGUGCAUCCCUGCAUUUGAACACUGUUUGGAACAUUAAAAUUGCGUUUUUUCCUGAGUUGGUACAUAUUAUGCAACAAGGAAAAUAAAGAACACAAUUAAGAUGUUUACGCAGUUUGAAACUCAUCCUACGUCUGCGGGGCUUUGCCCAAAUAUGACUCCACUAUGAACUUCAUAGUACAGAGAAAUGAUUCAAGCUUAACCUCUCAAACACUUGAUGCAAUCUCACUUUUGCACAAUUAAGUAAAUUAUUUCUCAACUCAUUUUAGCUAUGCAAGUGAAAAUUCACAUUCAACACUCAGAUGGUUUUCUUACUAUGAAUCAAGCACUUAAUAAGCUCCAUGUAAAGUGAAAUAAAUCAAGCACUUAAUAAGCUCCAUGUAAAGUGAAAUAAUAAAUUUUCAAAUGCAGUAUGUCUGGCAAUUGUCAUGCUUGAACAACGACUCUUCCAAAAGCAUCAAUGAACCUGAAAAUUAUAAAUGCCAACAUAGAAUAUGUUACAAAUCCCAUUAUUAUCAGCCUUAUAAUUGCACAUAUGUGUGUUUAGUAUAAUGUUGUUGAUAUAUAAAUAAUGAAACAUUUUAUCAACUUCAACCUCACCACCAAAUAUUCUGAAGCAUCUUCCUUUUUUUUCCUGUUUGGACCUUCAAUAGUAAAUUUGGCUGGAAUUCUAAAAAGAUAAAAGAGUGCCCUGCAUCAAUGAAUAUUAUGAAUUUGAAUACCUCCAAAAGCCUGUCAGUAUCACAGGUACCAUCUAAAAUAGUAAUCAGUUGGCAUAUAUUAAGAGAAAACAUAAAUAUAUAUAAAGAUAUGAUGGGUAAGUGCUUAAAUGAAGAAAGCAGAGCAUAUAGUACAACCAUUUUGAAGGCUUCAUAGGCCUCUCUCUCCACAUCAAUGAUUUUUUAGAAUUAAAUUAUUAGAAGCAAUUGUCAAGUUAUUAUUAUGAUUUAAAAGUAAAAAGCAAAUAGAUAAAUUAGCACUCUUUUUAUGCAUAUAAAAUGAUUGAAGUUGACUAAUGCCUUUCUCCAAUGCCUUACUGCACAAAUCAGCAAAAAUAUUAUGAAAGAUGAUAAGUAAAAAGUAGGAUGAAAACAAAGGGAUUUUAACAAGGAAAUUAACAGUAUCCAACUUCAAUGAAAAAUGGCAUCAGACCCCUCACUUGGAGAUUCAAUAUACCACUCAUAUUUUUCUUCAAAAAAAGAUAAGGUCAUCAAAAUAAAUAAAUAACAAGGACGGACCAACCUGAAUCAACUCAAUGUCGGGGAUGUGAGCAAUCUUAUGCCAAUCAGCGCCACUGUCCUUCCGACAUCUUUCCUCCAACUGAGGAAUUCUUUCCAUAAAUAACAUUUGCAAAUUGGUUAGGCAACGCAUCUCGUCUGGAAGAGAUGUUAAAUUGGGCAAAUUAACGAGAAAAAGCCGUUGCAGAUUUGUUAGAUGUUGAAGCCACUCCGGAAGAUGCCGACACUUUGGAAUAUUUUGCAGCUGUAGAAAGCGUAGGCUUGUAUGAUCUUGGAAUAUUUGGAUGCCAGCCCCAGAUAACUCCAGCUCCUUGCAGUCCAUUACUAAAAAGUCUUCAAGGGAAGUGAGAUGUUGGAACACAGGAAGCAGUGACCUCAAUCCAUUGCAGUUAUGAAUUUUUAAUGUUUUCAAUUGAACAAGAUGUUGAAGCCCAAUGGGGAGAGACACCAGCUUUGGAAUAUUAUCAAUCUCCAAAUGAGAGAGAUUCUUAAGGGGUUCCCAUUGCAUGCCCUCUAAAUCAACCUCCUUGCAAUCUUCUAUUGUUAAUCUUUUGAGGCUGGUGAGAUGUUGCAGGCAUUCAUCUAGCGUGUGAGUGUCCAACCCCUCAAUCUUGUGUACAUCGAAAGAUUUCAAUUUGGAGAGUGGAAGAGAAGAGGUUGAAGUUAAUGGGGCCUUAGCAUUGAUGUUCAUCUUGAUAGUCUGCUUUAACGGCCUUGAACUGGUAUUCGACAACAUUAGAUCUUCAUCGAGUGAUGGAUACAGCGGCAUUGAUGUCAAAGGGCAAUUUUCAAUUGUUAAAGAGGAAAGACAAGGAAAUCCCAUGGUUGAUGUUCCCAUAACUGUUGUGUCGUCCUCGUUGGAAUCAUCAUCGAUUGGUUUUGUCGUCCUCCACCAACUCAUCAUAUUCGGACAGUACCGGAGCGAAAGAUGCUUAAGUGAUGGGAAGAAUGAUUGUGGUUCUCCUUGACUUCCUUUUGGGCUAUUAUCAUCCAUGUACUCCAGCUCAGUUAAAUUAGAAAUCACCAGCCCUUUAAGACAAGGAAAUUGCACAAAGGACGGGAUUUGUUUGAAAUUACCCUGAUGUAUUGUCAUAUAAACGAGAUUUGUUAGAAAAGAAAGCCAACUUGGAAACUUGGCAUCACUCCUCCAUCCUCGAAUACAGAGCUCCUUGAGAUUAGGAUGGGGUUGGAGGUCUUCAAGUGAUUUAUCAUCAUCAUAUUCAUCAUCGUUAAAAUCAAAAUAAAAUUUCCAUUCUAAAAGCAACGAUCUCAAAUGUUGCUUCUCUUUCAAAUUAGCAGCCUUAAACUUCUCUUUUGCAUUUUUUACGAAUCCCAAAUUUCUUAUUUCUAGCUCUCCCCUUAAAUUGUUAAGCAGUCUCAAUUCACUUAGAUCUGCACCGCCAUGGGACCCAUCUUUAUCCACUACAAACAUGCUUAACGUCUCAAGUGAAGUCAGCUUCCCUAUUCCACGUGGCAUAUGAGUUAAACUCAAACAGCCUUCACACCCAAUAUGGGUAAGAUUCACCAAUUUUUCAAUCUUCUUUGGCAAUUCUUGAAGCCCAUCACACCAGUCAAGUUUCAGCGCUAGCAAAUUCUGAAUCUUGCAAAUACUCUUUGGGAGAAUCUUAAUAUUGAAAUUCCAAGAAAGAUCAAGGUACCUCAAAUGUUUCAACUUACAAAUGGAGGGUGAAAUCUUUCGAAUACCCAUAGAAUCCAAUUUCAAUACACGCAAGCAUCCACAAUUUGCAAUUAUCAAAUCCCAAGUUUCAUCACUCAAUUUUUGAUCGUUGUUGUCUUGAAAAUGUAACAAGGUUCGCAACUUCUUGCCCUUAAACAAAGGAAUUAAUGAAGGAAUUAAUAAAGGAUUAAUUGAUAUGUGGCGACAUUUUUCACCAACAUCACUUGCAAUUUUAUUUGAAUCUACAAUACUACUCUCCAUCCCUGCUACUGAUUCAGCUAGAUCAUGCAUUAAAUCAUGCAUUUUAUAUGUUAGCCCUUCCCAUGGAUAUCUUUCUCCUACUUCUUGGAAGAAACUUCUUUCAACUAAAUCUUUAAAAUACCCAAACCCGAUCUCCUCGAGAGAUUGACUUUGAUUCAAUUGCUUUAUGAAACCCUGUGCAAUCCAUAAUUGAACAAGCGCUUGUACUCUAAUUCUGUAAUCUUUUGGAUACAAUCGGCAAUAAGCAAAGCAAUGCUUCAAAUGAAACGGGAGAUGAUCAUAACUCAAUUUCAGUGUAGGUAGAAUUUCUCCUUCAAUUUGUGAUAUUUUAGCAAGUUCAUUUUCUUUGAAAGAAUGCCACUCAUUUGCAGUUUUCUUCAAAGAUAAUGUACCAGCUAUCGUCCUUAUGGCUAAGGGAACCCCACCACACCUGCCCGAAAUCUGUCUCCCUACUUCCACAAAGGCUGAAUUUGUUGAGUCUGCAUAUCCUUGCUCAAAUGCUAUCCUUUUGAACAAAGACCAAGCAUCAUCAUCAGACAGGCCUUUCAAUUUCAAAACAUGGGAUUGACAUUUAUUAGUUAUCUCCGCUACCCUUAGAGAUCGAGUAGUUACUAUUAUCCUACUCCCUUUAGCCCCACCCAUCAAUAACUUCUUUAGCCUAGACCACCUUUCUGGGUCCUCAUUCCAAAUGUCAUCCAAAACAAGCAAAUAUUUUUUCCCAUCAAUUUUAUCUCGAAGUUGUGUUUGCAAUUGAUCCAUUUCAAGAUUUUGAUCAGGUGCUUGAUUAGUCACAGAUUUGAUAAUGUUUGCUACAAUAACUUUCACAUCAAAAUCAUCUGAAACACACGCAAACAUCGUCAAGUCAAAAUGAUUUUUGACCAUUUCAUGGUUAUAGACAAGUUGGGCCAAAGCAGUCUUCCCUAACCCUCCAAACCCCACAAUUGGAAUGAUAUAAACAUUCUCUUCACUUUGAAACUCCAACACGAGUUUUAGAAGAGCUGCUUUAUCAUCAUCCCUCCCUAUUAUGUCAUCGUCACGCUCAAAAGAGUGCGUUUGCUGCCUCCUUUUAGUCAUGAAAGAGGUUUCCGCGGGGCGAUCACGCGGAAUGAAGCCAAAAGUGUUGGCCUCCCUUUCAAUUGAAGCUAAUCUCGCCUUAAUGGCCUUCAUUUUCCGACCCAUUUUGAGACCAUAAGCAAAUUGGUUUGAGGUUGAGAAGAAAAGGCGUACCUCUUUCGUCAGCUUGUUCCCACCCGAUAGAUCUUUCCGCAAAGCUUCAGUAGAGAAAUCAUCGAGCAAGUCGUCGGCAUCAUAAAGUACAUCUUUCAGCUCUUCAAGCCAAACUUUGACGAGAUUGUCGGUCACCGAUUUCUCUUCUGCGUCAAGAAGCACAGCUUUGACUUGACAGACAGUGCGUUUGAGGUCCUGGAUGUCAUGUUUUAGAUUCCACCACAGCCCAACUUGAGAGAGAGCACGAGAGCUCAACUUAAUAAUGAGCUCUGCGGCAAUAUCGAAAGCAAUUGCUUCGGCCAUUGUUGGUUCAAACUGAAAUCAAGGCAAGAAAUGUUUGAUUAGUGAAAGAGGAGGACUAAAAUGAGAAUGAUUCCAACAAGAUGAAACACAGAUGUGGAUCCAUCCACCCAGCAAGUAGUAUAAUAAAAUAAAAAGUAAUGUUGAUUGGUGGGAAAUGCUCCCUCCAUGUUAAAGUCAUGUUGAUUGGUGGGAAAUUGUCAAACUUCUCAAUGGAGACAAAGUUGGGAUGAUGACACUUGGGGCGGUCUGCACAAUGUGGAGCCUUACAAAUAAUUGAAAUUAAUGAAAAAGCUAUGAAAGAAAAGAGAAAAAGAUUGAGGCCCAAAAGUCACUACCUCAUUUUAAGUUGCAUCAUAAAUUAUAAUGUUAUAAAUAUCGCUAGAAUAAUCUAUCUCAAAAGACAAAUUAUAACAUUUAGAUAGAACCCAAUUAUAAAGAGAAUCGGCUAAUUUAUUACAACCACGUUUCACCCAUUUGACCUCAGCAGAAACAAAAGAAUCAAGCAUCUUGUGAGCUCUUUGAUGCAAUGAUCAAAGAUUAUAGUGUCCUCCUUGUGAAACUAAAGCAGUUGACAAAGCUAGCACAAUCUGUUUCAAAAAUGACAUUUUCGGCUUUAAGAAAUUGAGCAAGCCAAAAACCAUCGAUGAGGGCAUCUAAUUCUGCUUUAAUAGUGAUUUUUUAUUCUCAUUUUAUCGAUAUAUUUACAUUUGAAUUCAAAUACAUAUUCUACAAUUAACUUUAAUCUCACUAUUACAAUACUUAACCUCACUAAAUUAUUUGUUUAACAUGAUUAUGGUGAAUUUAUAGAAAGAACAAUUACGAAACAAAUGCAGAUGCACUUAUGUUUAAAGUGUUAUUAAUGGAAAUUUUAUUAUUUUGAAAAAUAAAAGUAUAACAACUUUUUUAGCAUUCCAAUUUUAUAAAAGAAUAAUUUUAGCUCUCUUUUUAUUUUCCUUCUCUUUUAGUCUUUGAACUUACAUUUUUUUGUCAAACCAUCCAAAAUGAGUGAAAAAGUUAACAUUUGUUAACUUUGUUGACAUGACAUAUAGGUGGAUUACCACUUGUAUGUCACGUUAGUAAUUAAUUAUUUUAAAAAAUAUAUUUAAAAAAUAUUUUCUUAUAAUUUUUUAAUUUUUAAAAUAUUUUUUAAAAUUUUUUAAAAUUUUAAAAAAUAAUUAAUUGCUUAUGUGGCAUAUACAUGGUAAUCCACGUAUAUGUUACAUUAGCAAAAUCAACAAGCAUUAAAUUUUCACUCAUUCUAGGGUGAUUUGACAAAAAUUACAAGUUUAAGAACUAAAAGAAAGAAAAAAUUAAAUGAAGAGUUGAAAUAACUUUUUCUAUAAAGUUGGAGACCAAAAGAAUCAUUAUGGCAAAAAAUAGUUGUUUUUCUUCUUUCUUUCUUUUUUUUUGGCAAUUUUUAGUGCUAAAAUUCAAGAUGGUGUGGAAUAGUUUCUAAUCUUAUUAUUGUUAUAUAUAUUUUCGAUCUCAUUGGAGUUAAUUUCAUUGUCAAUAUAAAGAGAGCUUAAAUAUAAUUUAUUCCACUUCUAUUAAACAUGUUAGCGCUCCUUUGUAUGAUCAUUUACCUCCCGUGAGUAGGGUCGAGUAAAAAAAAUAAAAUAAAAUAAUUGAAAAUCAAUCCAAAUCAAUGAAUUUAGACGGUUUAUGGAUACAAAUUAAAAAUUUACAAUUAUUCGAAACCGAACCAAAUUCAUUAUUAUCACAUUACUACGGUAUUCAAUCUCGCUAUAUCAACAACUAAUCUCACCACCAACGUUAUUUUUAAUUUCACUAGAAUUCAUCCAAUUAUACAUCCAAAGAAAACCAUAAACUUAUCUAAAUACAAAUAAAACUAUAAAAAACUUAUUUAGACAUAAACUUUAUUAUUUGACACAAUAAAAAUAUAAUUACUUGCUUGAUUUAUACAUUUGUCCAAUAGUAAUGUAACCCAUUCAAUUUGGUCAGAUUGAAGGUUAUUCUUUGAUAAAUUAUUAUUAUUAUUAUUAUUUGCUUUGGGCAAACUUAAUACAACUUGAUUUACUCUUUAUUAAUUAAAAGCAUUUUAUUUAUAUUUAAUUAUAAAAAUGUGUAAAUAUUAUUAAAAUAUUAUUUUUUAAUAUUAAAUGAAUAGUGAAAUAGGGUCAACUUAUAAGGGUUAAAGUGUUUAGGAAGUCCCUAUAUUAUAGACUGUAUCAAAUUAGUCUCUCGAUUAUUAAACAAAUCAAAUUUAUUCUUGUAUUAUUAAAAAAGAAUCAAAUUAUGUCAAAUUGUAACAAAAUUAGCAUUUACUGUAAUAAUUUUAACAUUAACAAAGUUAACAAUUUGCAAUAUAAUUUUUAUGCAAUAAAUGUUAACUUUGUUGUAAUUUGGUUUUAUUUGAUCCUUUUUUAAAAGUACAGAGACUAAAUUGACCAUUUAAUAAUAGAGAGACUAAUUUGAUGUAGUUCCUAGAAUAGAGGUACUUUCACCCUUAUAUAUGUAUUUGAAUCUUAUUUUGGAUGAAAUUGAACAAUUGAAAAAGAUAAGAGUUCAAAAAGGUAAAAAUAAAUUGUAAUUAUAUACAAAAUACUUCCCUCCACAUUUAUCCGAACAAAAGAUUCCCUCCCUUUUCCCUCGUUUUCUACUCUCUCUCUAACGUCUAAACUAAAACCCUCACUUUCUUUCUCUUCCUAUUCCCCCAAUUCCAAUUAUACCCCCACCUCCUUCCCCUAGAAAUCAUAAACCUCCAUGUCCGGAGGGGCUGGAGCCUCCGAUGGUCCCACGCUGCCGUAUCAACCUCCUCCCACGGCUUCAACUGCACCAGCUUCGACGGUUCCUUCGGUUGUUCCGCCGAUACGUCGUCACCUGGCCUUCGCUUCGACGAAGCCGCCGUUUGUUCAUCCCGAUGAUUAUCACAGAUUUUCAUCUAGUAAUAGUCGUGGAAUCGUCGCCGAUCAAGAAGUUGAAGCAAUUGUUGUGAGAUUUCUAGUGAGUUCAAAAAUUUAAUGUAAGAAAAGGCGUACCUCUUUCGUCAGCUUGUUCCCACCCGAUAGAUCUUUUCGCAAAGCUUCACUGGAGAAAUCAUCGAGCAAGUCAUCGGCAUCAUAAAGUACAUCUUUCAGCACUUCAAGCCAAACUUUGACGAGAUUGUCGGUCGUCGAGGUCAUGUUGGAGAUUCCACCACAGUCCAACUUGAGAGAGCGCACGAGAGCUCAACUUAGUAAUAAGCUCUAGGGCGAGGUCGAAAGCAAUUGCUUCGGCCAUUGCUGGUUCAAACAGAAAUCAGGCAAAGAAGCGUUUCGUUAU
rnacentral:lncRNA from 1 species